CAACAUAAUGCGCCCAAAUAUUUUCCCCAUAAAUACGCUACCACAGCAUCAUAGCUUGACCAGGUCUGAAUCCAUGAGAUUGAACCCAUUUCUGGCAUAGUGGAUUCCCACAAUUAUUACUUGGAAAACUUGAACAUAAAAGUAUACAUAAAUUCUCAUGUUUGGAAUAUUAGAAUUCAUUUUGAAUUUCUAGCCUAGCUAGCUUGUACCACAGUUUAAAAUUAUAUACUUUUUUGAAUUUAGCAUAGGAAGAAAAAGAGAGUAGAAAAACACACUUCAAGCUCAGUGUAAUUCAUUCCCUUAAGAAGCACCUUUGAACCCUUGGUUAGAAUAGCAUUCAUGUCUCUAAUUCCUACACAAAUAAACAGCCACAAAACAAAUAAAUAAAUAAAAUGGGAGCUCGAAAAACAACAUAUGUUACUAGGAAACGAUUUAUCUGCUUACCCAUAUCAACAGGAAGUAGUAACGAUGAACAAGCUGCGGUCGAAACGGAACGACGCGCGGAAGAGAAAAGAGAAGUGAGGUGGAGAUGGAGAUUGGGCGGCGUCGGUGAUGAAGAGAGUUGUUUUAGAGAGGAAAGAGAGAGAUGAGAUCGAUUAGGGUAAGGAAUUGAGAGCGAAGCAGAUGAGGAGGCCAUGGAAGGGUGAUUUACAAGAACCACUGAUCGCACGCGCCUCAUCCACAUACAACCCAUCUCCGGUCUCCGAUUUCUUGUAGCCCGAAAGUAGUACAUGUUCAUUUGAUGAAAAUAUAUAUUAACAUCAUCACAGCCGACAAGAACUUAAGAUUUAAGUAUAGCGGAAAUUUUCAAUUUUUUAUGAUAAUUUCAGAAAAACAAAAGAAAAAUUCAUCAGAUUUAAUUAAUUUAACUAAAUUCAGGAUUCAAUCAUUAUUGCUAAACAGUGAACUGAUCAUAAAAGUGAAUUGAUCAUUCAGAAUUUGAAAUAAUCCGUAGCACCUGUAUAGUAAUCGCAGAGCUUAAAACCAACAAAUGAAAAAAUAAAGGGAAAAAGAAAAAGGAAGGUUCUCACCAAUUUCAAGCGAUUAAUCAAAAUUUGAAGAGAUAGGUUCUUUCUUGAAUAGACCAAUUUCAGGCGUUUUUUCCUUUUUGCAGAAGGGAAAAAGAAAUUGAGACGAAGAAGAAGAGAUCAAGCGAGAGACUUAGUAGGAAGGAGAGGCGUGGUCGGGUCGGGUCGUGGAGAGAUAGUAAGAUUAGGGUUUUUUUUUUUUUUUGUUUUUUUCAAAUGAUUAUGAAAAUAAUUGAAUAAAUGAAAUUAAAGGAUGAACACUGAAAUUAAAUAAGAUUUUUAUUUCUUUUCUAUUUUAUGGUAACUAUACAAAAUAGCACAUUUACAAUCCAUGUGUACCUAAAGAGCUACAUUAUCUCAAAAAAAGAAUCACACAGGUAAAAUAUUGUGCUCUUCUGUAACAUCUUUAUGGUAACUACACAAAAUAGCAUAAUUUCAACUGAUAUAUAGCUAGAGAGCUACAUUAUUUAAAAAAGAAUUACACAGGUAAAUUAUCGUUCUCUUUUAUAAUAUAACGUCUUAUGAUUUUAACUUCUAUAAUAUAACGUUUUAUACUUUCAAUUUUCUCAUUGAAUUUCUCUCGUAGUGUACUGAUUAAAUAAUAGAUCUCUUCCCUUGAAUUAUAUAUUACUCCAGCGAACAAGGAGGCCCAUAAAAUUAAAAUGAUCCAACCAAAAAUUGGGAGAACCAUAAAUACAAGUGCGACUACGGCCAAUCCAACAGCAAAUAAGCCAACUUUGCUAUUAAUUGAAUUGAAUGAAUUCCAAGCUUGAAAUAUAGUUCCAAACCCGUAUGUGAAUAGAGCAACGAGAAAGAUUGGUAAUAUAAAGUGUCUGUCUGUAUCAUCCAAAUGCUUGAUUUGAACGAGGCCAAUUAAACUUGAUAUAGUCAAGGUGAAAACAUUAUGCACUGCGUUUAAAUUUUCCCUGAAAAGAAAAAUGAAAUAAAAAAACUAUUAGAAGGCUUUAGCACAUUUCAAUUUAACUAUAUAUAUUUGUAAUUGAUAAGGAUAAACAAAGUUGCAUAAAUUUUAUAGACUUAGCAAUAAUUGCAAAACGGGUAAAAAUUUUGGAAGAGUUUUGAAUAAUCUUUCAUGAAUUGAAUAAAGAUUGAUAGCUUGAAACGAUAGAGAAGUUAAACAAAGUGUGCUCUGUCUAGUCAUGAUCAAAUACAGAAAAACUUGAAGAUAAAAUAAAAAGUUUGCAACCCAAUCCCAAUAUUUAAUGAUACUUACAUUUUCUUCUUCGUGCUUGUUGUUAGAGAAUGCAAGAAUGGUAGAGAACGCAAGAAUAUGAAGAUAGGAGAGGAGCUUGUUACUAGGAGCAGGUCGCAGAGGAGAUGCUCGCAGAGGAGAUGGCAAGAAUAUGAAGAGAGGAGGAGCAGGUCGCAGAGGUGAUGGUCGCAGAGGAGAUGGCAAGCAUAUGAAGAUAGGAGAGGAGCUUGAUACUAGGAGCAGGUCGCAGAGGAGAUGCUCGCAGAGGAGAUGGCAAGAAUAUGAAGAGAGGAGGAGCAGGUCGCAGAGGUGAUGGUCGCAGAGGAGAUGGCAAGCAUAUGAAGAUAGGAGAGGAGCUUGAUACUAGGAGCAGGUCGCAGAGGAGAUGCUCGCAGAGGAGAUGGCAAGAAUAUGAAGAGAGGAGGAGCAGGUCGCAGAGGUGAUGGUCGCAGAGGAGAUGGCAAGCAUAUGAAGAUAGGAGAGGAGCUUGAUACUAGGAGCAGGUCGCAGAGGAGAUGCUCGCAGAGGAGAUGGCAAGAAUAUGAAGAGAGGAGGAGCAGGUCGCAGAGGUGAUGGUCGCAGAGGAGAUGGCAAGAAUAUGAAGAUAGGAGAGGAGCUUGUUACUAGGAGUAAGUCAGAGGAGAUGGUAUUAUAUAAUAUUCUAGUCUAGUCAAUAUACCUAGACAUUGACAUUGACAGGGUGGAAUUGGAGGGUUGGAGAGGGUUGGAGGGUUGGCAAUUCCAUUGCACAGUUCAGGGUGGUGUAUUUUAGAAGAUAAUAUUAUAUAAUAUUCUAGUCUAGUCAAUUUUUCCAGGCCCAACCUCAUUGAAUUUUUCCAUUUUGGUCUGAUGGGCCGUUGAUUCUUCGAUUCAAUUUUUCCAAGCCCAACCUCAUUACCUUGUGUCAGAAUUUACAGAUACUAAUAGGUAAUAAAAAAAGAUUUCAAUACUUUUACACAGGCAAUAUGGGACAAUAUUAUUCUUUGGAAAAAAAAAAAAAAAGCUAUUAUUGCUGUUGAUGGACAAUAUUAUGUCUUCCCACCAGCAAGACAUCUCCAGUUCCGAUUCGAUCCGGUUCCGAUUCUCACCGGUUCCAAUUACGAUUCGGGACCGGUUCGAACCGACGGUUCCGAUUUCCGAAACCGUAAUAUGGCCACCCCUAAAUAUGGGACAAUAUUAUUCUUUGGAAAAAAAAAAAAAAGCUAUUAUUGCUGUCUUCCGAUUGCCUUUCCAAUCCUAUUCCUACUGUUGUUUCUCUCACAUCUGCCUUAAUUAUUCAAUAAAUAAAUUUUCAUUAUUACUUUUUUCAGUUCAUUAAUAUUGGCAAUUGGUAAAAAGGGAUGGAUUAUGAUAUCAUAUUAAAAAAAAUAAAAGCUGAAUAUGCAAACUUAGGUAUCAAAAGCUAAAAGUACUAAUAAUUAAUUAUAAGAAAGUGAUGUAAGGAUAAACAAAAUUAAAUUUUUUUUUUUUUAGCAAAAUGUUUUUAACAUACUCAAAUAUAAAUUCACCUCUAAUAUGAUUUGUUUUUACAUUUUAUUUUUACUUCUUGCACCUACAUAUUUUAUAUUGUAUAUUGUGGCCUCCUGCUUUUAUUAUUGUAUUAAACCUACUCUUUUUUUACUCUAUAUAUAUUGCAUUAUUUUAUUUUAUUUUAUUUUGUUGUUGCAUUGCUUUUGAUUCUUUUUCUUUUUAUAAAGAACAUGAUGUUAUCUCGCAUUAUGGAUUAAAUAAAACAAUACUUCUUUCGUUGGAUUUAUGCAUAUUAAUUUGGGAUAUACAUGCAAAAAAUUUUGGUUCAAGGUAUAAAUUCAUCCCUGUACUUUUUUUACGAGAAAUCUCGUGACAUUCUCAACUUUUAUUUUUUCUUAUUAAAUAUUUCAACUUAUAAAAUUGCACUUAUUAAAUACUUUAAUUGCAUUUAUUAAAUACUUUAAUUGACUUAUUAAACACUUCAAUUUAUAAAAUUAAAUCGAUUAAAAUACUUAUUGAAUAGUUCAAAUGUAAAAUUUAUUGUUUUAAAAAUUAUAUUAACUACAUAUUAAAUUAAUAUUUUGCAUAUAAAACUAAAAAAAUUUAAAAUUUAUUAUUACAAUAACGAGAUGAGAGAUCAUAUAAAAAUAAAAAUUAGAAUGCCACAAAAUUGAUUUUAAAAUUUACAAAAUAUCAUGAAUUUUUUUUUAUAAAUUUUAAAAGUUAAAUUAUAUAUUGCGCCGAAAGAAAAUCUACACGCAACUAACGUAACGCAACAGACUUUUCUCCCUCAAAAUUUUAAAUUAUUUAUUUCGAAUUUUUUUAUUGCUCAACUCACUUGCUGCUCUCUUUCCUUCUGUGCCUUCGGCCCGGAUUGACAAGAAUGAUACGAAUACGUACUUCAAAAGUGAUUCAGACAAUUUACCCAUAUACAUAAAUUCAACGUUUAGCUUUAUUACUUAAAUUUUACAGUGCUUUUAAUUUUUUAUUUAAUUCAUCCAACAUUUUAAUUUAUAAAAUUAUUUUAUUAAAUAUUUCAAUUUACAAAAUAGAUCAAUUAAACACCUAUGAAAUAAUUAAAAUUUAUGAAAAUUAUUAUUCUAAAAAUUUUAAACAUUAUUGUUGUUACUGUGAAAAAAUAUUUAAUAUUACCAAAAUUUAUAAAUUCAAAUAUACGAUAAAUCAUCAUAAAAUUAAGGAUAGCAAGAGUUAAAAUUGCAAAAUUAGAGAGUAAAUUUAUAUAUUCAACGCUUUUUUAAGAUUUUAAAUAAUGUUUCCUUGGCAUUUUUCAAUUUUAAAAAUUAUUACGGUAUUAUAUAAAUAUUUUUUGUUAAGAGCUAAAAUAAUUUAAGAAGAAAUAAAGUAAGAAAAUGGUAAGCUGAAAUAUUUUAUAUUUUAUGGCUUUCAAAGAAGAAAUAAUGUAAGAAAAUGCUAAACUGAAUCGGGCCAAAAACAUAAUCAAACAAAAUCAACUUUUAAAAAAAAGAAAAAAGAAAAUAAUAAAAGAUAUGAAAAGGAAGAAAAGGAUGGAGUUGUAGUUAAACAAAAUAUUAAGGUCUGGAUCCAUGAGCUUGAACCCGUUUCUGGCAUAGUGGAUUCCCACAAUUAUUACUUGGAAAACUUGAACAUAAAAUUAUACAUAAAUUCUCAUGUUUGGAAUAUUAGAAUUCAUUUUGAAUUUCUAGUCUAGCUAGCUUAGCUUGUACCACAGUUUAAAAUUAUAUACUUUUUUGAGUUUAGCAUAGGAAGAAAAAGAGAGUAGAAAAACAUACUUCAAGCUCAGUGUAAUUCAUUCCCUUAAGAAGCACCUUUGAACCCUUGGUUAGAAUAGCAUUCAUGUCUCUACUUCCUACACAAAUAAACAACCACAAAACAAAUAAAUAAAUAAAAUGGGGGCUCGAAAAAUAACAUAUGUUACUAGGAAACGAUUUAUCUGCUUACCCAUAUCAACAGGAAGUAGUGACGAUGAACAAGCGGCGGGCGAAACGGAACGACGCGCGGAAGAGAAAAGAGAAGUGGGGUGGAGAUGGAGAUUGGGCGGUGGCGGUGAUGAAGAGAGUUGUUUUAGAGAGGAAAGAGAGAGAUGAGAUCGAUUUGGGUAAGGAAUUGAGAGCCAAGCAGAUGAGGAGUCCAUGGAAGGGUGAUUUACAAGAACCACUGACCGCACGCGCCUCAUCCACAUACAACCCAUCUCCAUUCUCCGAUUUCUCCUAGCCCGAAAGUAUUACAUGUUCAUUUGAUGAAAAUAUAUAUUAACAUCAUCACAGCCGACAAGAACUCAAGAUUUAAGUAAAGCGGAAAUUUUCAAUAUUUUAUGAUAAUUUCAGAAAAACAAAAGAAAAAUUCAUCAGAUUUAAUUAAUUGAACUAAAUUCAGGAUUCAAUCAUUACUGCAAAAAAGUGAAUCGAUCAUUCAGAAUUUGAAAUAAUCCGUAUUAUAGUAAUUGCAGAGCUUAAAACCAACAAAAGAAAAAAUAAAGGAAAAAAGAAAACGGAAGGUUCUCACCAAUUUCAAGCGAUUAAUCAAAAUUUGAAAAGAUCAAGAGAGAGGUAGUUAGUACUUAGUAGGAAGGAGAGGCGUGGUCGGUUCGGGUCGGGCCGGGUCGAGAGAGUAACACUGAAAUUAAUUGAAUAAAUGAAAUUAAAGGACUAACACUGAAAUUAAAUAAAAAUUCUAUUUCUUUUCCAUUUUAUGCUAACUACACAAAAUAGCAAUUUUCAAUCGAUAUAUAACUAGAGAGCUACAUUAUUUCGAAAAAGAAUUACACAGGUAAAUUAUCGUGCUCUUCUAUAAUAUAACGUCUUAUGAUUUCAACUUCUAUAAUAUAACGUCUUAUAAUUUCAAUUCUCUUAUUGAAUUUCUCUCGUAGUUUACUGAUUAAACAAUAGAUUUCUUUCCUUGAAUUAUAUAUUACUUUAACGAACAAGGAGGCCCAUAAGAUUAAAAUAAUCCAACCAAAAAUUGGGACAAGGAGAAAGGCAAGUGCAACUAUGGCCGAUCCAACAGCAAAUAGGCCAACUUUGCUAACAAUUGAAUUGAAGGAGCUCCAAGCUUGAAAGAUAGUUCCAAAGCCAUAUGUGAAUAGACCAACAAGAAAGAUUGUGAAUAUAAAGUGUUUGUCUGUAUCAACUAAAGGCUUGAUUUGAAUGAGACCAAUUAAACUUGCUACGGUGAAGGCGAAAACCUUGUGUACUGCAUUUAAAUUUUCCCUGAAAAGAAAAAUGAAAUAAAAAAACUAUUAGAAGGCUUUAGCACAUUUCUAUUUAACUAUAUAUAUUUGUAAUUGAUACGGAUAAACAAAGUUGCAUAAAUUUUAUAGAUUUAGUAAUAAUUGCAAAAUGGAUAAAAAUUUUGGAAGAGUUUUGAAUAAUUUUUCAUGAAUUUUAAUAAAGAUUGAUAGCUUGAAAUGAGGAGAGAAGUGAAUCAAAUACUGCAAAACUUGAAGAUAAAAUAAAAAGUUUGCAACCCAAUAUUUAAUGAUACUUACCUUUCGCUUGGCAUUCUUUUAAAUUCUUCGCGCUUGUUAGAGAACGGAAGAGUAGGAAGAUAGGAGAGUAUGAGACUAGCUGCAAUGACUAGAGAGCGAGUAGUGGCAUAUUAUAUUGACUUUCUUUCACUCGACUAACAUUUUUGAGUAACAAUCGCUCGACUAACAUUUGUCAUUAUUGACAUUUGUUACUCUCGUUUGCGUAACAAUCGCUAGAGAGCGAGUAGUGGCAUAUUAUAUUGAGUAACAAUCGCUAGAGAGCGAGUACCAUUUGUCAUUAUUGACAUUUGUUCCUCUCGUUUGAGUAACACUCACUAGAGAGCGAGUAGUGGCAUAUUAUAUUGAGUAACAAUCGCUAGAGAGCGAGUACCAUUUGUCAUUAUUGACAUUUGUUCCUCUCGUUUGAGUAACAAUCGCUCGACUAACAUUUGUCAUUGUUGACAUUUGUCAUUAACUGUUGAUUUUUAUUAUAAUUUAAAAAAAUCAAUCACUUUUUUAGUUUUAGUAUAAAAACUUUAAAUGGUUUAUAUUUUAAAAUAAGGAAAACAGUUAAAUCAAUGAAAAUAGACUAUAUAUCCAAUGAAAUUUCCUGCAAUAUAAAAACUGAUAAAUUUGGAAUCACUGCUGUUACCCGAAUACUAGCCAGCUUGAACAUUUAAAAAAAAAAAAAAACAAAACAAAAGAAAAGAAAACCCGUAUAUAUAUUUUAUUAUGUGACUCUACAACAUGAUUUUGAAAAUUUGCAGCAGCACAACAACAGCAGCCAAGCCUUAGCCACAAACUAGUUGGGAAUUUGCACAAAUACACAAAAUCUUUUGUUUCCAUAUGGCUCUAUGCUAGAUAUAGAUAAUACUAAACUGAAUUCAAAAUGUCCUUUAGUAUCCUAAAGGGUUAAAAUCAAAUCUUAAAUGACAAGAAGAAAACGCCAAUUCAUUUUGUUUGGAAUGCAAAAAUCCAUUUAAGAUAUUGUGAGAGAAAAUAAAUGUUUGUUUACUAAUGCAGCCUAAAUUUCAUAGAGGUUGGAACAUCCAUUGCAAAGACCCAGCAAAUGCAAGCAGAUAAAUUCAUACGAACCAGCAAAUAGCAAUACAAGGAUAUCAGCAUCCAAAAUAAAAAAUUGCCACGUGUGAAAAUUGUGGCAUGAGAGGUUACUCACCAGUACUUAAUCAAGCCAUCCCAGCCGCAAGUUGCCACUUUGCUUUGCUCCAAUGGAUGCCACUCGCACCCAAUGCACACACCCUCAUGACACUUGUCCUGAAAACUUUACAACUCUUCCAGUCCCAAAACCAGCACUUACCCUCACCGUCUCCUGACAUAACAAAACGUCCAUCUGGUGAGAAAUUUACUUGGCAAGCAUAACCUGCCACAAUAUGCUCAGCAAACCGCUGGUGCACCUCUCCUAACUAUUGCAAUUUAGUUUCCUCUGAGAAACCUCAGGAGCAUUUGCAUAAAUUGAGGGUGUUAAUGAUACAGGUUAAAAAUAUAAUAUUAUAUGAUGGGUUAAAAGCACAUCAAACAAAUCAUUCUUGCCCAAACUAACACGAAACAAGUCAGCAACUGGUAGUCUGGUACCACAAGUAAACAUGCUAGCGUAAUAGACAAAGCAACUGCAUACAUCUAUCUUUCUGACUUGCAAUAUCAUGCAGUCAACGUUUACAACGUCAAUCAUGCAGUUACCCUAACAGUAGCACAAGAUAUUUCAUAUGGCCAAACAUAUUAUCAAAUAUCAAAUAAAACUGAGAAAGGAAAAUGUUUAUCUAACCUGUCAUUUACUCCUGCAAGCAUCACAUACUCGAACAAAAGAUCAAUGAAUAAGGAAACACAUGGACUUAAUUCCACAAAUUAUGUGUUUUUCUAUGUGAACAGGGAAUGCAUAACGACCACAAAACGAAUGAAAUCUUCACUUUCUAUUUAUGUUGUCGAUAGAUAGUGAAAAUAACAUUGAAUUAUUAGAUGCCUUAUUACUGGACUGAGCAAAGUCACUAACUGAGCCAAAUCUGAACUGAUUGGAAAAACUUUAAUAGAAAAUUUUCUAGAUCACACCAUAAAUACAACGUUUGUGAUGGAACCAACUUCGCUCGUCACAAGACGUUGUGCAAAUACAACCUGGUCUACAAUCUCUGCAGUAGUCAGAUGUCUCUUCAAACCCAUCCUAAAAAUUGGAUUAUGCAUCAAGAAGAUGUACCUUGUAGAGAGUAAGAAUAGCAAUAAUAGAGAUACAAAUAAGAAAGAUAUAAAGCUUACCUGCCAGUGCAGCAGAACUGACAAUUCAUGGCACAGCCCACUUGACUUGAAACACAAACUGUCGUCCUACCUCUAUCACAAGGUAUGACGACUGUUUCAAUUACCAGUUCAUCAUCCAACCUAAAUAAAAUCUGCAAGCUCCUGUGAGUUUCAAAACCAAUGAGAAGAUAAUGCAACUGCUAAAAGCAAUAUAUCAAACCAGAAUAAAGUGACUUCGAGACCAAAAAUACAACAGAUAAUGGUUUUGGCUACCUUCUUAGUUCCAUCAGAUGCAGAACGAAUAUUUUCCAAAUAUAUUGCCUUAUAUUCUGCGUGUUCACUCAACAUUUUCCUAAAAUCCUUAUUCAAACCUGAAUAAGGUUAUCAAAGACAAAUUCAUAAGGCUCAGCAUGUCUCUCUUGUUGGAAGAGAGAUUCAAUUUUGCACAUAGAUAGGGACAUCAAAGGGAGAUAAAAUCAUUUAGCUCACUGAAAAGGCUAUAAAACCAGACAAUAGAUAGCAUUUCAGAGACAAGGUGGUGUAAGAAUACCUUCUAGUUCAUCAACAUAAUGCGCCCAAAUAUUUUCCCCAUAAAGACGCUACCACAGCAUCAUAGCUUGACCAGGUCUGGAUCCAUGAGAUUGAGCCGUGGACCCAUUUCUGGCAUAGUGGAUUCCCACAAUUAUUACUUGGAAAACUUGAACAUAAAACUAUACAUAAAUUCUCAUGGUUGGAAUAUUAGAAUUCAUUUUGAAUUUCUAGUCUAGCUAGCUUGUACCACAGUUUAAAAUUAUAUACUUUUUUGAGUUUAGCAUAGGAAGAAAAAGAGAGUAGAAAAACACACUUCAAGCUCAGUGUAAUUCAUUCCCUUAAGAAGCACCUUUGAACCCUUGGUUAGAAUAGCAUUCAUGUCUCUANNNNNNNNNNNNNNNNNNNNNNNNNNNNNNNNNNNNNNNNNNNNNNNNNNNNNNNNNNNNNNNNNNNNNNNNNNNNNNNNNNNNNNNNNNCCAUAUCAACAGGAAGGUAGUGACGAUGAACAAGCGGCGGUAGAAACGGAACGACGCGCGGAAGGGAAACGAGAAGUGGGGUGGAGAUGGAGAUUGGGCGGUGGCGGUGAUGAAGAGAGUUGUUUUAGAGAGGAAAGAGAGAGAUGAGAUCGAUUAGGGUAAGGAAUUGAGAGCGAAGCAGAUGAGGAGGCCAUGGAAGGGUGAUUUACAAGAACCACUGACCGCACGCGCCCCAUCCACAUACAACCCAUCUCCAUUCUCCGAUUUCUCGUAGCCCGAAAGUAUAACACGUUCAUUUGAUGAAAAUAUAUCCAAGCUCUCUUACAUAAUACUUAUAUGAAAAUAACUUAUAUCCGAAAAUAUCUUAUUUCAAAAUACAUGCGAGCUGUAAGAAGUAAUAAAGAUUUUUUUUAUUUAUUCUUUAUAUAUAAUCAAUAAUUAUUAUUUUAAUUUAAUAAUUUUUUAGAAAAUUAAUAUUAAAUUAAAGAUAAUAUAGUCAAUUUAUUUAAUAAUUUAUUAUAAUUUAAACACAUUUAAUAAUUUUCUUAAGAAAUCUGAAAUUUAUGACAAGUAUUAUUGACCAGAGAUCAUAUGAAAUGGCUAAACUAGCAAGGUUCAAUUGGUUUUUUAGGUAUUGUUAUUGGUUCGGUUUGAACCAUAAUCAAAUUGUACUGUGCAUGAACUGAAAUCGAAUUCAAAAUUUUGAACUAGAACUGGAGUUCACCGACUGGUUCAAUCCAUGUCAAUACGUUAAAAAAUAAAACUGAAUUGGUAUCGUUGGUCCAAAAUUUUAAAUCAUAACUUGAGGUUCAAAGACUGGUUCCUAUCCAUGUCAAUGUUAAAAAAUAAACCUGAAUCGGAAUGGAAUUGACGAUUCCAGUCCGGUUAAACAUAAAUUUAUAAUCAUCUACUCAUAAAUAAAAUUUUCAUGAUAAAUAACGCAAAAAUGCAGAAUCCGGAUAAGGGGAUCGUGACUCUACAACAUGAUUUUGAAAUUUUCCAGCGGCACACCACCAGCAGCCAAGCCUUAGCCACAAACUAGUUGGGAAUUUGCACAAAUACACAAAAUCUUUUGUUUCCAUAUGGCUCUAUGCUAGAUAUAGAUAAUAAUAAACUGAGUUCAAAAUGUCCUUUAGUAUCCUAAAGGGUUAAAAUCAAAUCUUAAAUGACAAGAAGAAAACGCCAAUUCAUUUUGUUUGGAAUGCAAACAUCCAUUUAAGAUAUUGUGAGAGAAAAUAAAUGUUUGUUUACUAAUGCAGCCUGAAUUCCAUAGAGAUUGGAACAUCCAUUGCAAUGCAAGCAGACUAAUUCAUAUGAACCAGCAAAUAGCAAUACAAGGAUAUCAGCAUNNNNNNNNNNNNNNNNNNNNNNNNNNNNNNNNNNNNNNNNNNNNNNNNNNNNNNNNNNNNNNNNNNNNNNNNNNNNNNNNNNNNNNNNNNNNNNNNNNNNNNNNNNNNNNNNNNNNNNNNNNNNNNNNNNNNNNNNNNNNNNNNGAAAACCUUACAACUCUUCCAGUCCCAAAACCAGCAUUUACCCUCACCGUCUCCUGACAUAACAAGCCGUCCAUCUGGUGAGAAAUUUACUUGGCAAGCAUAACCUGCCACAAUAUGCCCAGCAAACCACUGGUGCACCUCUCCUAACUAUUGCAAUUUAGUUUCCUCUGAGAAACCUCAGGAGCAUUUGCAUAAAUUGAGGGUGUUAAUGAUACAGGUUAAAAAUAUAAUAUUAUAUGAUGGGUUAAAAGCACAUCAAACAAAUCAUUCUUGCCCAAACUAACACGAAACAAGUCAGCAACUGGUAGUCUGGUACCACAAGUAAACAUGCUAGCGUAAUAGACAAAGCAACUGCAUACAUCUAUCUUUCUGACUUGCAAUAUCAUGCAGUCAACGUUUACAACGUCAAUCAUGCAGUUACCCUAACAGUAGCACAAGAUAUUUCAUAUGGCCAAACAUAUUAUCAAAUAUCAAAUAAAACUGAGAAAGGAAAAUGUUUAUCUAACCUGUCAUUUACUCCUGCAAGCAUCACAUACUCGAACAAAACUUCGCAAUUCUUUAUGGAUUGGAGUUCCUUCCGAAGGGUGUCAAGAAGCAAGCCUAAAUUGUAUUUCCGGUUACUUGGCACGAUCCAGUUUCUUACAUGCAUGGUUUAUUAGUUAAAGAGAAAGUCAACAACCUGGAUGUGUUUCCCAAGUGAAUAAACAUACAGAUAUAAAUGAAAAUGCACCUCAUCAGCUGUCGCAUUCAGACUAACAGCUAAAGCACAAUUGGAUUCAUGAAGGAAACGUUUCAACGGGGGGACAAGCCCGCUUGUAGAAACAGUGACCUUGCGAGGACUAAAAUGAAGAUCCUGCUCAUGCACCAUAAUAUCUGCAGCUUUUAUGACGACUGUUUCAAUUACCAGUCCAUCAUCCAACCUAAAUAAAAUCUGCAAGCUCCUGUGAGUUUCAAAACCAAUGAGAAGAUAAUGCAACUGCUAAAAGCAAUAUAUCAAACCAGAAUAAAGUGACUUCGAGACCAAAAAUACAACAGAUAAUGGUUUUAGCUACCUUCUUAGUUCCAUCAGAUGCAGUACCAACAUCUUCCAAAGAUAUUGCCUCAAAUUCUGCGUGUUCACUCAACAUUUUCCUAAAAUCCUUAUUCAAACCUGAAUAAGGUUAUCAAACAAAUUCAUAAGGCUCAGCAUGUCUCUCUUGUUGGAAGAGAGAUUCAAUUUUGCUCAUAGAUAGGGACAUCAAAGGGAGAUAAAAUCAUUUAGCUCACUGAAAAGGCUAUAAAACCGGACAACAGAUAGCAUUUCAGAGACAAGGUGGUGUAAGAAUACCUUCUAGCUCAUCAACAUAAUGCGCCCAAAUAUUUUCCCCAUAAAGACGCUACCACAGCAUCAUAGAUUGACCAGGUCUGGAUCCAUGCUAUUGAACCCAGUUCUGGCAUAGUGGAUUCCCACAAUUAUUACUUGGAAAACUUGAACAUAAAAUUAUACAUAAAUUCUCAUGUUUGGAAUAUCAGAAUUCAUUUUGAAUUUCUAGCCUAGCUAGCUUGUACCACAGUUUAAAAUUAUAUACUUUUUUGAGUUUAACAUAGGAAGAAAAAGAGAGUAGAAAAACAUACUUCAAGCUCAGUGUAAUUCAUUCCCUUAAGAAGCACCUUUGAACCNNNNNNNNNNNNNNNNNNNNNNNNNNNNNNNNNNNNNNNNNNNNNNNNNNNNNNNNNNNNNNNNNNNNNNNNNNNNNNNNNNNNNNNNNNNNNNNNNNNNNNNNNNNNNNNNNNNNNNNNNNNNNNNNNNNNNNNNNNNNNNNNNNNNNNNNNNNNNNNNNNNNNNNNNNNNNNNNNNNNNNNNNNNNNNNNNNNNNNNNNNNNNNNNNNNNNNNNNNNNNNNNNNNNNNNNNNNNNNNNNNNNNNNNNNNNNNNNNNNNNNNNNNNNNNNNNNNNNNNNNNNNNNNNNNNNNNNNNNNNNNNNNNNNNNNNNNNNNNNNNNNNNNNNNNNNNGAUUUACAAGAACCACUGACCGCACGCGCCUCAUCCACAUACAACCCAUCUCCAUUCUCCGAUUUCUUGUAGCCCGAAAGUAUUACAUGUUCAUUUGAUGAAAAUAUAUAUUAACAUCAUCACAGCCGACAACAACUCAAGAUUUAAGUAAAGCGGAAAUUUUCAAUUUUUUAUGAUAAUUUCAGAAAAACAAAAGAAAAAUUCAUCAGAUUUAAUUAAUUUAACAAAAUUCAGGAUUCAAUCAUUAUUGCAAAACAGUGAACUGAUCAUUCAGAAUUUGAAAUAAUCCGUAGCACCUGUAUAGUAAUAGCAGAGCUUAAAACCAACAAAUGAAAAAAUAAGGGGAAAAAGAAAAAGGAAUGUUCUCACCAAUUUCAAGCGAUUAAUCAAAAUUUGAAGAGAUACGUUCCUUUUUUUUUUCUUGAAUUGACCAAUUUCAGGCGUUUUUCCUUUUUCAGAAGGGGGAGAGAUUGAGACGAAGAAGAGGAGAUCAAUAGAGAGGCAGUUAGUGCUUAAGAUGAAGGAGAGGCUCGGUCGGGUCGUGGAGAGACAGUGAGAUGUGGGCUUUACCAAAUAAAUGGACUCUGGAAGUUGGGAAUACAUACGGUCUUUAAGAUUAGGGUUUUUUUUUUUUUUUCAAAUGAUUAUAAAAAUAAUUGAAUAAAUGAAAUUAAAGGAUUAACACUGAAAUUAAAUAAUAUUUUUAUUUCAAUGGUAACUAUACAAAAUAGCACAUUUACAAUCGAUAUAUGCAGCUAAAGAGUUACAUUAUUUCAAAAAAGAAAUACAUAAGUUAAUUAUCGUGCUCUUCUAUAAUAUAACGUCUUAUGAUUUUAAUUAUCUUGUUGAAUCUCUCUCGUAGUUUGCUAAUUAAACCGUGGAUCUCUUUAAGUGAAUCAUAUAUUACUUUAGCAAACAAGGAGGCCCAUAAGAUUAAAAUAAUCCAAAAGUUGUAACAACCAUAAAGACAAGCGCAGCUACGGCUAAUCCAAGGGCAAAUAAGCCAACUUUGCUAGUAAUUGAAUUGAAGGAGUUCCGAGCUUGAAAGAUAGUUCCAAACCCAUAUGUGAGUAAAGCAACAAGAAAGAUUGGUAAUAUAACGCGUGUGUCUUUAUGAACCAUAGUCUUGAUUUGAAUGAGGCCAAUUAAACUUGCUAUGAUUAAGGUGAAAACAUUGUGUACUGCAUUUAAAUUUUCCCUGAAAAGAAAAAUGAAAUAAAAAAAACUAUUAGAAGACUUUAGCACAUUUCAAUUUAACUAUAUAUAUUUGUAAUUGAUAAGGAUAAACAAAGUUGCAUAAAUUUUAUAGACUUAGCAAUAAUUGGAAAAUGGAUAAAAAGUUUGGAAGAGUUUUGAAUAAUCUUUCAUGAAUUGUAACAAAAAUUGAUAGCUUGAAAUUAUAGAGAAGUGAGACAACUGUGCUCUGUCUAGCCAUGAAUCAAAUACUGAAAAACUCGAAGAUACAACAAAAAGUUUGACAACCCAAUAUUCAAUGAUAUACUAACCUUUCGUUUGCCAUUUUCUUUUAAAUUCUUUGUGCUUGUUAGAGAACGCAAGAAUAGGAAGAUAGAAGCUGCAAUGACUAGAGAGCAACUCUGCUAUUUUUCCCAAGAAUAGGAAGAUAGGAGAGAAGCUGCUUUUUAUUUUUUCCCAAGAAUAGCAAGAAUAGGAAGAUAGGAGAGAAGCAUAUGCUUGUGAGAGAAGCUGUUUUUUUAUAUGUCAUAUAAUCGCUUUUUAUUGUCGGUUGUUGUAGGUCAAUUCAUAUAAAAUAUUCUUUUCUUUUCCUCAUACUGCUUACUCAUAUUUCCUCCUUCACUGAUAUUUGCUUUUUUCCUCAAUUCUGCUUACUCUGCUUAAGCAUAUUUCAAUUUUCUAUUCAUAUUUCUCAAUUCUGCUUACUCUGCUUACUCUACUUACUCAUAUUUCCUCCUUUACGGAUAUUUGCUUUUUUCCUCAACUUUUUUCCUCAACUCUACUUACUUUACUGAUAUUUGCUUUUUGCCUCAAUUCUGCUUACUCUGCUUAAGCAUAUUUCAAUUUUCUUUUCAUAACUGAUAUUUGCUUUUUAUGAUUCCACAUAGGCAGGAACCUUUUUAUGAUUCCACAUAGGCAGGACCUUUUUAUGAUUCCACAUACAUGCCACAUAGGCAGGACCUUUUGACAUCUAAGAGGUGCCACAUAGGCAGGACCUUUUUACAUCUAAGAGGUGUACAUUGUGGUUCUAUUGCCCUGUUUUUGGUUCCAUUACCCUGAAUUCGUCUGACGUGUGGUGGUGUUUUUGUUUUUUUGGUACAUUGUGGUUCCAUACUUCCAUUACCCUGAAUUUCGUCUCACGUGUGGUGGUGUUUUAGUUUUUUUUGUACAUUGUGGCCCCCCAUUGCCCUGUUUGUUUUUUUGCGUCGUUGUCGGGUGAUAGCUUUUCUAGAUAAUAUUAUAUAAUAUUCUAGUCUAGUUAACAUUGUCGGGUGAUUUGCUUCUUCCAUUCAAUUUUUCCAGGCCCAACCUCAUUCAAUUUUUCCAUUUUGGUCUGAUGGGUCGUUGAUCCUUCGAUUCAAUUUUUCCAAGCCCAACCUCAUUACCUUGUUGUCAGAAUUUACAGAUACUAAUAGGUAAUAAAAAAAGAUUUCAAGACUUUUACACAUGCAACAUGGGUAGGGGUGGCCACAGUUCCGGAAUCGAAUCGAAAAGGUCCGGUUUCAGUUUCGAUUUGGAACCGUCCGGUUCCGGUUCCGGUCUGGUGAUAAAACCGACUGGUUCCGAUCGGUUUUUCGGCGAAUCGCAUAAUUUUAAAUUUUAAAUUUUGAAGACCGGUUUAAAAAAAAUAUAUUGGAACAUAAAAAAUUAAAAAAUACACCUAAAAAAUUAAAAAAAACUUCAAUUAAAUUUAUUUUUUUAAAGAUUUGAACAUAAUUAUUUUUUUAAAAAAAAUUUUUCAACUGAAUUUAUUUUUUGUUUAAAAAAGUUUGAAUAUAAUUUUUUUUAAAAAAAAAGGACGGCUUGAAAUUAAUUUUUUUUUAAAAAAAAAAAAUUAAGUUGUCUACAUAUCCUCUUGGGGUUUAGAGGAAUCAAAGCCCACAUAGUUCUUACUUACCUUAUACCAAUUUCACCCCUUUUACCUUAAUCGCUAUUUGCACCACCGGUUGAUGUUUCCGUUGAGGACCUAUCGUAUAAAUCAUAUAAAUCUUCAUUUUAUUUUGGAUUUUCUUUGGCUCUUAGUUCAACCUUUCUCCAAUCAUCCACGCAUGAUUGUGCUUCUAAUGAAUCGGGUGUCACACGAGAUCGUGUUUUAUCAAGUAUGUUACCUCCUUGACUAAAAACUUGUUCAACCGCAACAGUGGAGACCGGAGCUGCUAAAAUUUGUUUUGCAAGUAAAGAAAGAAUUGUAAAAGUAUUUGCGUGACGACUCAACCAAUCUAAAAUUGGAAAAUCUGCAUCUGCAUAAUCAUCACCAAACUCAAAAGAAGUUGUUAGAUAAUUAUCAAAUUCAGAAAAAGAACUGGAUUCCCUUUGUCUUUUUUGUCUUUGUAGUAAAACAUGUUCAGCAACACCAACACCACUUACCCUUUGUGUUGAAAAUUGUGGAAUAUUAGAUUGAGAAGAAGUAGAAGUAGAAGUAGAUGAACUAGAAACUUGAACAAAUUCAUUAUAUAAUUGCAUAAUAUUUUGUUUAACUUCAUGCAAUACUACAUUUAUAUUAACAUUAUCUUCUACAUCAAGAUUUAAUACAUCAUAAUAAAUAGUCAAAUAAUCACAUAAAACAUCCAUUCUAUAUCUAGGAUCAAAUNNNNNNNNNNNNNNNNNNNNNNNNNNNNNNNNNNNNNNNNNNNNNNNNNNNNNNNNNNNNNNNNNNNNNNNNNNNNNNNNNNNNNNNNNNNNNNNNNNNNNNNNNNNNNNNNNNNNNNNNNNNNNNNNNNNNNNNNNNNNNNNNNNNNNNNNNNNNNNNNNNNNNNNNNNNNNNNNNNNNNNNNNNNNNNNNNNNNNNNNNNNNNNNNNNNNNNNNNNNNNNNNNNNNNNNNNNNNNNNNNNNNNNNNNNNNNNNNNNNNNNNNNNNNNNNNNNNNNNNNNNNNNNNNNNNNNNNNNNNNNNNNNNNNNNNNNNNNNNNNNNNNNNNNNNNNNNNNNNNNNNNNNNNNNNNNNNNNNNNNNNNNNNNNNNNNNNNNNNNNNNNNNNNNNNNNNNNNNNNNNNNNNNNNNNNNNNNNNNNNNNNNNNNNNNNNNNNNNNNNNNNNNNNNNNNNNNNNNNNNNNNNNNNNNNNNNNNNNNNNNNNNNNNNNNNNNNNNNNNNNNNNNNNNNNNNNNNNNNNNNNNNNNNNNNNNNNNNNNNNNNNNNNNNNNNNNNNNNNNNNNNNNNNNNNNNNNNNNNNNNNNNNNNNNNNNNNNNNNNNNNNNNNNNNNNNNNNNNNNNNNNNNNNNNNNNNNNNNNNNNNNNNNNNNNNNNNNNNNNNNNNNNNNNNNNNNNNNNNNNNNNNNNNNNNNNNNNNNNNNNNNNNNNNNNNNNNNNNNNNNNNNNNNNNNNNNNNNNNNNNNNNNNNNNNNNNNNNNNNNNNNNNNNNNNNNNNNNNNNNNNNNNNNNNNNNNNNNNNNNNNNNNNNNNNNNNNNNNNNNNNNNNNNNNNNNNNNNNNNNNNNNNNNNNNNNNNNNNNNNNNNNNNNNNNNNNNNNNNNNNNNNNNNNNNNNNNNNNNNNNNNNNNNNNNNNNNNNNNNNNNNNNNNNNNNNNNNNNNNNNNNNNNNNNNNNNNNNNNNNNNNNNNNNNNNNNNNNNNNNNNNNNNNNNNNNNNNNNNNNNNNNNNNNNNNNNNNNNNNNNNNNNNNNNNNNNNNNNNNNNNNNNNNNNNNNNNNNNNNNNNNNNNNNNNNNNNNNNNNNNNNNNNNAUAAAUUUUCUCACCUUUGAAUUUUUUCGUGAAAUGAAUGGCGAAUAUGUCGGAACUUUGUCUUGCUCUUCCAACAAUUUGUGCUCGUUGCUCUUGCUCUUGCUCUUGCUCUUCCUCUUCUUGUAAUUGCUCAUUAAAUUCAGAUUCUUGAGUUGGAAUUUCCAAAUUUUCAUUUGGAUAUCCCUCAAAAUUAAAUUGGUUGGGAGUGAAAUCAUAGAUGUCGUUUGUAGGGAUAGAUGAAUAUUGUGUUUCUCCAAUCUUUCCCUUGCCCUUACCCGAAUUUGAGUUUUCUCCACUUGUCAUUAUAUGAUAAUAAGAUAUAAUUUGGAAACUUGAAUAAAAAAAAUUAGAGAGAAUAAGAACUUAAUACGAGAGAUUGUAAAGUAGAGAAGAAUAAUAUAGAGUAGAGUGUAGUAUAUUGUAGAGAGAGUAAGUAGAGUGUAGUAUAUUGUAGAGAGAGUUGAGAUUUUUUUGUAAUCAAUUUGUAAAUGAAAUGAGGUAUUUACAAUAAAUUCAAAAAAUCAUUUUUCCAAAAAUACCCUUGAAACUAGCCGUUAUGUAGCCGUUUAUGGCUGGGGGGGGGGGGGAUUAAAAGAAUUUACAAUAAAAAUUAAAAAAAAAAAAAAAAAACUGGUCUGACAAUUUAUAACAGCUAGAACCGCCGGUUCGAAUCGGUUUGAACCGGCGGUUCUAACCGGCCGGGGAAUCGACGGUUCCAAUCCGGUUCCGACUGGUUAUCUGGAACCGCCGGUUUCGGUUCCAGAAAUCUAGAAUCGGAACCGAACCGAAAAUCUCCAGUUCCGGUUCGAUCCGGUUCCGGUUCUCACCGGUUCCAAUUAAGGUUCGGGACCGGUUCGAACCGACGGUUCCGGUUUUUCCGGUUUCCGAAACCGUAAUAUGGCCACCCCUAAAUAUGGGACAAUAUUAUUCUUUGGAAAAAAAAAAAAAAGCUAUUAUUGCUGUCUUCCGAUUGCCUUUCCAAUCCUAUUCCUACUGUUGUUUCUCUCACAUCUGCCUUAAUUAUUCAAUAAAUAAAUUUUCAUUAUUACUUUUUUCAGUUCAUUAAUAUUGGCAAUUGGUAAAAAGGGAUGGAUUAUGAUAUCAUAUUAAAAAAAAUAAAAGCUGAAUAUGCAAACUUAGGUAUCAAAAGCUAAAAGUACUAAUAAUUAAUUAUAAGAAAGUGAUGUAAGGAUAAACAAAAUUAAAUAUUUUUUUUAGCAAACUGUUUUUAACAUCCUCAAAUAUAAAUUCACCUCUAAUAUGAUUUGUUUUUACAUUUUAUUUUUACGUAUUGCACCUACAUAUUUUAAAUUAUAUAUUGUGGCCCCCAGUUUUUAUUAUUUUAAAUUAUAUAUUUCAUUCUCAUUAACCCUUUUUCUGUCAAAAUUUUAAAAUUAUUUAUUGCCUGGUCAAUUGGUCAAUUUUAUGUGUAACAGUUAAAAUUAUAAAAUUCAUCUAUUUAUGUAGUCACUUUUCUCAAGAUUUUAAAUAAUAUUUACUUUGUCAUUUUUCAAUUCUAAAAAUUGUUACAGUUUAAUAUAAAAUUUUUGUUAAGAGUUGAUUGCUAAAUAUACAACAUGCAGGUUUCCUUUCCUUUUUUUUUAUUAAAUAUAUUUUUAUUUUAUGGCUUUCAAUGAAGAAAUAAUGUCAAAAAAUGCUAAAUUUAUAAAAUUAAAUCGAUUAAAAUACUUAUUAAAUAGUUCAAAUGUAAAAUUUAUUGUUUUAAAAAUUAUAUUAACUACAUAUUAAAUUAAUAUUUUGUAUAUAAAAAUAUUAAAUUAAUAUUUUGCAUAUAAAAAUAAAAAAAUUUAAAAUUUAUUAUUACCGUAACGAGAUGUAAGAUCAAUUUAAAUUUAAAAUAUUAAAUUUAUUGUUUUCGAAUUUUUUUAUUGCUCAACUCACUUGCUGCUCUCUUUCCUUCUGUGCCUUCGGCCUGGAUUGACAAGAAUGUUAUGAAUACGUACUUCAAAAGCGAUUCAGGCAAUUUACCCAUAUACAUAAAUUCAACGUUUAGCUUUAUUACUUAAAUUUUACAGUGCUUUUAAUUUUUAUUUAAUUCAUCCAAUAUUUUAAUUUAUAAAAUUAUUUUAUUAAAUGUCUCAAUUUACAAAAUAAAUCAAUUAAACACCUAUGAAAUAAUUAAAAUUUAUGAAAAUUAUUAUUCAAAAAAUUUUAAACACUAUUAUUGUUACUGUGAAAAAGUAUUUAAUAUUAUCAAAAUUUAUAAAUUCAAAUAUACGAUAAAUCAUAAAAAAAUUUAAGAUAGCAAGGAUUAAAAUUGAAAAAUUAGAGAAUAAAUUUAUAUAUUCAACGCUUUUUCAAGAUUUUAAAUAAUAUUUUCUUCGCAUUUUUCAAUUUUAAAAAUUAUUACGGUAUCAUAUAAAUAUUUUUUGUUAAGAGCUAAAAUAAUGUAAGAAGAAAUAAAGUAAGAAAAUGCUAAGCUGAAAUAUUUUUAUAUUUUAUGGCUUUCAAAGAAGAAAUAAUGUAAGAAAAUGCUAAACUGAAUACGGCCAAAAAAAUAAUCAAACAAAAUCAACUUAAAAAAAAAAAAAGUAAAAAGAAAAUAAAUAAAAGAUAUGAAAAGGAAGAAAAGGAUGGUGUUGUAGUUAAACAAAAAAUUAAGGGCUAAUGGGAAAAUCACUGUUGUGGCGACACUGAUUUCCCCACGUGGGUUAUAUCCCUAUUACUUUGCUCCACGUGUGAUUGUUUAUAUCGCAGGUUGUGAUAGACAAGAACUUCUGUUUCCAUAAUUUGUGGAAAAUGUCGCGAAUACGUAUUUCAAACCCGAAGCAUAUUCAAUUUGCCCAUAUUUUACCCUAUUAAGCGUCUUUCAUAUCUCUGGGGUUUAUUUAGGUUCAAUACCUAAAUGUAUCCUUUAUUUUUAUUACUUUAUUACUUUAAUAGUUCAAUACCUAUUAAAUAAUUAAUAAUUAUAAAAAUUAUUAUUUCAAAAUUUAUGCUAAAUUACAUAUCAAAUUAAUAUUUUGUAGAUAAGAUUCAAAAACUUUAAAAACUAUUAUUAUUAGUGUGAAAAUACGUGUAAUAGUUAAAAUUGCAAAAUUCAGUUUUUUCUCCUUUUUUGAUUUGUGCUCUUAGACAGACUUGCUCCACCUUCCAAAUGUACUUCCCCCAUGGUUGAUUUUUCAUUAUAGGAUUCAAUUUUUUUUUUCAUUAAGCAACUACAUCCAGUUUACUUUUUGUUUCUUUGUAGGAGGCUGGAAUAGGAACAAGUAUUGACUCUUUUUAUGAGUAUCUCUUAAAGGUAUGUGAUAACGGUUUCACUGUGUAGGAAGAUAUUUCCUGGGUUAACAUAGUAGCUCAAAAUAUUUUUCAGAAGUAAAUACAUAAUCAUGCUGAUACACAUAAUUCAAAUAAGCUUUUAUGAAAACUGGUUUGAUUGUCUGCAUGAGUCCUGCUCUUCCAUUCUGCCGUGUCUCAUUCCAUCAAUGGCUAGAGCACAUAAAUACAUAAAUACUUGCAGAAGAUCAGAUCAUAUAGGAUGGUUUUGAACAAUCAUUUACAGCUAAAAUAGUGGUAGGAUAUUCACGAUAAACAAAUGGGAGAAUCUUAGAUGAUGAAUAGUAAUUUAAUUUUGAGAAGCUUUUAUUGAAAAUUUCUUAUAUUUUCAGGCUUAUUUGUUAUUUGGUGAUGAGGAGUAUUUGUUCAUUUUCCAAGAAGCUUAUGCUGCUGCUAUGCACUAUCUUUUUAACGAUCCUUGGUAAAAGCUUGUGGCUAUCAUGCCCCUCUGCAUAAAUAUGUGUUUUGUGCAAAUGUUUGUAGCUCUAUAGAAUGGUCUAAUUCACAAUAUAUACUUUACUCCAUGGUAUUUAAAUCCUUCAAAUUUGAACAUUUAACUUUACAUGUCUUUUUAGGUAUGUAGAGGUAAAUAUGGAUUCUGCUGCUAUCGUCUGGCCAUUAUUUAAUAGUCUGCAGGCAUUUUGGCCAGGCCUUCAGGUUUUUGCUUUUUCUAUAUUCUGGCAUGUGAACCAUAAUAGUCGACUGUUAUAUUUAUGUUGAUUGGAAUUGCAUUUAUUUCUAAGGUUUUAGCAGGAGACAUUGAUCCUGCCAUUCGAACACAUGCUGCCUUCUUUAGCGUCUGGAAAAGAUACGGUUUCACUCCAGAAGGUUUUAAUCUUGCUACACUAAGUGUUCAGGUACCCCAAUCAUUAUUGGAAGCACAUGAAAGAUUUAAUAAGUAUUCCCAAUUUGAAUCACAUUUUAUAAGAUACUAUGGUAUCUUAGUUAUAUAGUAUGAGUUAGCAAGUUACUUUCAAAAAAAGAAUAGACAUCUUAUUUUGAUUUAUAGAAUGGGCAGAAGAGGUAUCCACUCCGUCCAGAGUUAAUAGAAAGCACAUAUUGGCUUUACAAAGCUACCAGAGAUCCCAGGUCAACAUAUGCUCUAAUUUCAUACUUCCUGAUGUAGCCAAGCAAAUGCAGUUUUGGGAACCUUUUUUUUAUUAAUUUCUUUUCUUGUAUCACAACUAUUUAGGAACUUUAUUUGGAGUUUUCUACAUAGGUAUAUAAGAUCCAGUAAAGACCAUAUCAUUAAAAUGAUAAAAUUAUGAACGGGUGUAAGGUCGAUGCACAAAGGAUGUUAGGCCCAAGUGAAAAAUUACAAGGACAACUAAAUAGUUGGUGCAUAAAGCACUUCAUUUUUGAUAGUGAAGAACUAUGAUGUUUCUUUUGGAUCAACAAUACCAUUAGCAUAUCCAUCUUGCUGGAUUCUGACUGUUAACUUCUGCUACAUUUACCUCUCCUCUGGGAGAGAAAUGUCAAUUUCAAGGAGAUAAUUUGGGGCCCUAGAAAUAUUUAAGGUGGGAAGUUGAGAAACUUUUCUCUUCGCAUGAGCUGCUUUUGAAAAUAAUUAACUAUACAAACAUUUUCUUUCUUUGGUUCAACCUUCCUACUUUAAUCAAUAUUGGAACUUUUGGGCUUUGCCAUAUAAAUGGACUCUGGAAGUUGGGAAUACAUACGGCCUUUAUGAUUAGGGUUUUUUUUUUUUUUUUCAAAUGAUUUUAAAAAUAAUUGAAAAAAAGAAAUUAAAGGACUAACACUGAAAUUAAAUAAAAAUUCUAUUUCUUUUCCAUUUUAUGGUAACUACACAAAAUAAUACAUUGUCAGUCGAUAUAUAGCUAAAGAGCUACAUUAUUUCAAAAAAGAAUUACACAGGUGAAUCAUCGUCAUCUUCUGCAACACGACGUCUUAUGAUUUCAAUUAUCUUGUUGAAUUUCUCUCCUAAUUUGCUGAUUAAACUGUAAAUCUUAUUCCUUGAAUUAUAUAUUACUUUAGUUAACAAGGAGGCCCAUAAGAUUAAAAUGAUCCAACCCAAAAUUGGGAGAACCAUAAGCACAAGUGUAACUACGGCCAAUCCAAGCGCAAAUAAGCCAACUUUGCUAGUAAUUGAAUUGAAGGAGUUCCAAGCUUGAAAGAUAGUUCCGAACCCAUAUGUGAGUAGAGCAACAAGAAAGAUUGGCAAUAUAAUGUGUGUGUCUGUAUCACCUAAAGGCUUGAGUUGAAUGAGGCCAAUUAAACUUGCUAUGAUCAAGGUGAAAACAUUAUGUACUGCAUUUAAAUUUUCCCUGAAAAGAAAAAUGAAAUAAAAAAACUAUUAGAAGGCUUUAGCACAUUUCAAUUUAACUAUAUAUAUAUUUGUAAUUGAUAAGGAUAAACAAAGUUGCAUAAAUUUUAUAGACUUAGCAAUAAUUGGAAAAUGGAUAAAAAUUUUGGAAGAGUUUUGAAUAAUCUUUCAUGAAUUGAAUAAAGAUUGAUGGCUUGAAAUGAUAGAGAAGUUAAACAAGUGUCCAGCCAUGAACACUGAAAAACUUGAAGAUACAAUAAAAAGUUUGCAACCCAAUAUUUAAUGAUACUUACAUUUUCUUUUAAAUUCAGAGGAGCUUGUUAGAGGAAGAUAGCAAUAUUAAAAAGUUUGCAACCCAAUAGGAAGAUAGAAGAGGAACUGUUGCUAGGAUUUUUUUUUUUUGAAGGUAAAAUGAGAAAUAUUUAUUACGAAAGCAAGAAAUCAAGUAGAAUAGGAGGUGGUACAGAAUUCCAAACCCCCAAGCCUGCUUCGGAAUGUGUUCCAACUGUCAACAUAUGUGCAGCAACAUUCGCAGACCUAUAAACAAAAUUACAUUGUGCGACUGGUAUCUCAGACAAAAGAGAUCUACAGUCCUGAAUUAUCCUGAAUUACAUUGUGUUCCAACUGUUGCUAGGAUAUAAAUACUAGGAGCUUCUUUGCACCCAUUUGCAUUUGUGCAAACGCUUAUUUGCACUACCACUUUUGCUCACUCGCUUAUUAGGGUAAGGAAUUGAGAGCGAAGCAGGGAAGAGGCCAUGGAAGGGUGAUUUACAAGAACCACUGACCGCACGCGCCUCAUCCACAUACAACCCAUCUCCAUUCUCCGAUUUCUCGUAACCCGAAAGUAUUACAUGUUCAUUUGAUGAAAAUAUAUAUUAACAUCGUCACAGCGACAAGAACUCAAGAUUUAAGUAAAGCGGAAAUUGUCAAUUUUUUAUGAUAAUUUCAGAAAAAUAAAAGAAAAAUUCAUCAGAUUUAAUUAAUUUAACUAAAUUCAGGAUUCAAUCAUUAUUGCAAGAAAGUGAACUGAUCAUUCAGAAUUUGAAAUAAUUCGUGGCACCUGUAUAGUAAUAGCAGAGCUUAAAACCAACAAAUGAAAAAAUAAAGGGAAAAAGAAAAAGGAAUGUUCUCACCAAUUUCAAGCGAUUAAUCAAAAUUUGAAGAGAUAGGUUCCUUUUUUUUUUUUCUUGAAUUGACCAAUUUCAGGCGUUUUUUCCUUUUUCAGAAGGGAGAGAAAUUGAGACGAAGAAGAAGAGAUCAAUAGAGAGGUAGUUAGUACUUAAUAUGAAGGAGAGGCGUGGUCGGGUCACGGAGAGAUAGUGAGAUGCGGGCGUUACCAUAUAAAUGGACUCUGGAAGUUGGGAAUACAUAUGGUCUUUAAGAUUAGGGAUUUUUUUUUCUUUUUUGUUUAUUUUUUCAAAUGAUUAUAAAAAUAAUUGAAUAAAUGAAAUUAAAGGAAUAACACUGAAAUUAAAUAAUAUUUUUAUUUUAAUGGUAACUAUACAAAAUAGCACAUUUACAAUCGAUAUGUAGCUAAAGAGCUACAUUAUCUCAAAAAAGAAUCACACAGGUAAAAUAUUGUGCUCUUCUGUAACACGACGUCUUAUGAUUUCAAUUAUGUUGUUAAAUCUCUCUCGUAGCCUGCUAAUUAAAUGGUAAAUCUCUUCAAGCGAAUCAUUUAUUACUUUUGCGCAUAAGGAGGCCCAUAAGAUUAAAAUAAUCCAACCAAAAAUUGGGACAAGGAGAAAGACAAGUGCAACUAUGGCCGAUCCAACAGCAAACAGGCCAACUUUGCUAACAAUUGAAUUGAAGGAGCUCCAAGCUUGAAAGAUAGUUCCAAACCCAUACGUGAACAGACCAACAAGAAAGAUUGUGAAUACAAAGUGUUUGUCUGUAUCAACUAAAGGCUUGAUUUGAAUGAGGGCAAUUAAACUUGCUACGGUGAAGGCGAAAACCUUGUGUACUGCAUUUAAAUUUUCCCUGAAAAGAAAAAUGAAAUAAAAAACUAUUAGAAGGCUUUAGCACAUUUCUCUUUAACUAUAUAUAUUUGUAAUUGAUACGGACAAACAAAGUUGCAUAAAUUUUAUAGACUUAGUAAUAAUUGCAAAAUGGAUAAAAAUUUUGGAAGAGUUUUGAAUAAUUUUUCAUGAAUUUUAAUAAAGAUUGAUAGCUUGAAAUGAGGAGAGAAGUGAAUAAAAUGCUGAAAAACUUGAAGAUACAAUAAAAAGUUUGCAACCCAAUAUUUAAUGAUGCUUACCUUUCGCUUGGCAUUCUUUUAAAUUCUUCGUGCUUGUUAGAGUAGAAGAGUAGCUGCAAUGACUAGAGAGCGAGUAGUGGCAUAUUAUAUUGACUUUCAUUCACUNNNNNNNNNNNNNNNNNNNNNNNNNNNNNNNNNNNNNNNNNNCUCGACUAACAUUUGUCAUUAUUGACAUUCGUUCCUCUCGUUUGAGUAACAAUCGCUAGAGCGCGAGUAAAAUCGCUCGACUAACAUUUGUCAUUGUUGACAUUUGUUCCUCUCGUUUGAGUAACAAUCGCUCGACUAACAUUUGUCAUUGUUGACAUUUGUUCCUCUCGUCGCGAGUAAAAUCGCUCGACUAACAUUUGUCAUUGUUGACAUUUGUUCCUCUCGUUUGAGUAACAAUCGCUAGAGAGCGAGUAGUGGCAUAUUUAUAUUGAGUAACAAUCGCUAGAGAGCGAGUAACGAUCGCCAGAGAGCGAGUAACAUUUGUCAUUAUUGACAUUUGUUCCUCUCGUUUGAGUAACAAUCGCUAGAGAGCGAGUAGUGGCAUAUUUAUAUUGAGUAACAAUCGCUAGAGAGCGAGUAGUGGCAUAUUUAUAUUGAGUAACAAUCGCUAGAGAGCGAGUAGUGGCAUAUUAUAUUGACUUUCAUUCACUGUUCCUCUCGUUUGAGUAACAAUCGCUCGACUAACAUUUGUCAUUAACUGUUGAUUUUUAUUAUAAUUUAAAAAAAUCAAUCACUUUUUUAAUUUUAGUAUAAAAACUUUAAAUGGUUUAUAUUUUAAAAUAAGGAAAAGAGUUAAAUCAAUGAAAAUAGACUAUAUAUCCAAUGAAAUUUCCUGUAAUAUAAAAACUGAUAAAUUUGGAAUCACUGCUGUUACCCGAAUACUACCCAGCUUGAACAUUUAAAAAAAAAAAAAAAAANNNNNNNNNNAGAAAAGAAAACCCGUAUAUAUAUUUUAUUAUGUGACUCUACAACAUGAUUUUGAAAAUUUGCAGCAGCACAACAACAGCAGCCAAGCCUUAGCCACAAACUAGUUGGGAAUUUGCACAAAUACACAAAAUCUUUUGUUUCCUUAUGGCUCUAUGCUAGAUAUAGAUAAUACUAAACUGAAUUCAAAAUGUCCUUUAGUAUCCUAAAGGGUUAAAAUCAAUCUUAAAUGACAAGAAGAAAACGCCAAUUCAUUUUGUUUGGAAUGCAAAAAUCCAAUUAAGAUAUUGUCAGAGAGAAUAAAUGUUUGUUUACUAAUGCAGCCUAAAUUUCAUAGAGAUUGGAACAUCCAUUGCAAAGACCCAGCAAAUGCAAGCAGAUAAAUUCAUAUGAACCAGCAAAUAGCAAUACAAGGAUAUCAGCAUUCAAAAUAAAAAAUUGCCACGUGUGAAAAUUGUGGCAUGAGAGGUUACUCACCAGUACUUAAUCAAGCCAUCCCAGCCGCAAGUUGCCACUUUGCUUUGCUCCAAUGGAUGCCACUCGCACCCAAUGCACACACCCUCAUGACACUUGUCCUGAAAACUUUACAACUCUUCCAGUCCCAAAACCAGCAUUUAGCCUCACCGUCUCCUGACAUAACAAACCGUUCAUCUGGUGAGAAAUUUACCUGGCAAGCAUAACCUGCCACAAUAUGCUCAGCAAACCGCUGGUGCACCUCUCCUAACUAUUGCAAUUUAGUUUCCUCUGAGAAACCUCAGGAGCAUUUGCUGGUGCACCAUAAUAUCUGCAGCUUUUAUGACAUUUUCAAUGUUCUGAAGUGGUUCUCACAUUCCCUGCAAAUACAUAUUUCAAAGCGAAUUAUUAGAAAUUAUUGGGCUAACUAAAAAUCUAUUUUCUCUCACUUAAACCAAGAUCUUUGAAAAAUAGGGAUUAAUACUUCAUGGAUGUAAUAACUCUCCUUCAAACAUCUAAUAGAGCUAGACUAGAGACACUUCAGCAAAAAAAAAUCCAUUACAAUAGCUGCAGCAAAACGAAUACAGAAACAUACAAGGGUUAGAAGGGUGUAAAUGCCCAUAGGUAGUGGAUAUGCAAUCUAGGAAUAGUAUUGUUGAAUGGUUGGGCAAGUAUUCCGAUCAAUGAAUAAGGAAACACGUGGACUUAAUUCCACAAAUUAUGUGUUUUUCUAUGUGACCAGGGAAUGCAUAACGACGACAAAAUGAAUGAAAUCUUCACUUUCUAUUUAUGUUGUCGAUAGAUAGUGAAAAUAACAUUGAAUUAUUAGAUGCCUUAGUGCUGGACUGAGCAAAGUCACUAACUGAGCCAAAUCUGAACUGAUUGGAAAAACUUCUGUUAAUAGAAAAUUUUCUAGAUCACAGACUUACCACAAAUACAACAUUUGUGAUGGAGCCAACUUCGCUCGUCACAAGACGUUGUGCAAAUACAACCUGGUCUACAAUCUCUGCAGUAGUCAGAUGUCUCUUCAAACCCAUCCUAAAAAUUGGAUUAUGCAUCAAGAAGAUGUACCUUGUAGAAAGUAACAAUAGCAAUAAUACAGAUACAAAUAAGAAAGAUAUAAAGCUUACAUGCCAGUGUAGGAGAACUGACAAUUCAUGGCACAGCCCACUUGACUUGAAACACAAACUGUCGUCCUACCUCUAUCAGAAGGUAUGACGACUGUUUCAAUUAACAGUUCAUCAUCCAACCUAAAUAAAAUCUGCAAGCUCCUGUGAGUUUCAAAACCAAUGAGAAGAUAAUGCAACUGCUAAAAGCAAUAUAUCGGACCAGAAUAAAGUGACUUCGAGACCAAAAAUACAACAAAUAAUGGUUUUGGCUACCUUCUUAGCUCCAUCAGAUGCAGUACGAACAUUUUCCAAAUAUAUUGCCUUAUAUUCUGCGUGUUCACUCAACAUUUUCCUAAAAUCCUUAUUCAAACCUGAAUAAGGUUAUCAAAGACAAAUUCAUAAGGCUCAGCAUGUCUCUCUUGUUGGAAGAGAGAUUCAAUUUUGCACAUAGAUAGGGACAUCAAAGGGAGAUAAAAUCAUUUAGCUCACUGAAAAGGCUAUAAAAUCAGACAAUAGAUAGCAUUUCAGAGACAAGGUGGUGUAAGAAUACCUUCUAGUUCAUCAACAUAAUGCGCCCAAAUAUCUUCCCCAUAAAGACGCUUAGCAUCAUAGCUUGGCCAGGUCUGAAUCCAUGAGAUUGAACCCAUUUCUGGCAUAGUGGAUUCCCACAAUUAUUACUUGGAAAACUUUAACAUAAAAUUAUACAUAAAUUCUCAUGUUUGGAAUAUUAGAAUUCAUUUUGAAUUUCUAGUCUAGCUAGCUUGUACCACAGUUUAAAAUUAAAUACUUUUUUGAGUUUAGCAUAGGAAGAAAAAGAGAGUAGAAAAACAGACUUCAAGCUCAGUGUAAUUCAUUCCCUUAAGAAGCACCUUUGAACCCUUGGUUAGAAUAGCAUUCAUGUCUCUACUUCCUACACAAAUAAACAGCCACAAAACAAAUAAAUAAACAAAAUGGGAGCUCCAAAAACAACAUAUGUUACUAGGAAACGAUUUAUCUGCUUACCCAUAUCAACAGGAAGUAGUGACGAUGAACAAGCGGCGGUAGAAACGGAACGAGGAGAUGGAGAUUGGGCGGUGGCGGUGAUGAAGAGAGUUCUUUUAGAGAGGAAAGAGAGAGAUGAGAUCGAUUAGGGUAAGUAAUUGAGAGCGAAGCGGAUGAGGAGGCCAUUGAAGGGUGAUUUACAAGAACCACUGACCGCACGCGCCCCAUCCACAUACAACCCAUCUCCAUUCUCCGAUUUCUCGUAGCCCGAAAGUAUAACAUGUUCAUUUGAUGAAAAUAUAUACAAGCUCUCUUACAUAAUACUUAUAUGAAAAUAACUUAUAUCCGAAAAUAUCUUAUUUCAAAAUACAUAUGAGUCGUAAGAAGUAAUAAAUAUUUUUUUAUUUAUUCUUUAUAUAUAAUCAAUAAUUAUUAUUUUAAUUUAAUAAUUUUUUAUAAAAUUAAUAUUAAAUUAAAAAUAAUAUAGUCAAUUUAUUUAAUAAUUUAUUAUAAUUUAGACACAUUUCAUAAUUUUCUUAAGAAAUAUGAAAUUUAUGACAAGUAUUAUUGACCAGAAAUUGUAUGAAAUAGUUAAACUAACAAGGUUCAAUUGGUUUUCUGGGUACAGUUAUUGGUUCGGUUUGAACCAUAAUCAAAUUGUACUGUGCAUGAACUAAAACCGAAUUGCAUAGUUGAUUCAAAAUUUUGAACUAGAACUGGGGUUCACCGACUGGUUCAAUCCAUGUCAAUACGUUAAAAAAUAAACCUGAAUUGGUAUCGUUGGUCCAAAAUUUUAAAUCAUAAUUGGAUGUUCAAAGACUAGUUCCAAUCCAUGUCAAUGUUAAAAAAUAAACCUGAAUCGGAAUGGAAUUGACGAUUCCAGUCCGGUUAAACAGAAAUUUAUAAUCAUCUACUCAUAAAUAAAAUUUUCAUGAUACACUUGACUUAAAAAGUCUAAAAAAGUAAAAUUAGCAACAAAAAAAAAAAAAAGUUAAAUACUAAUUCAAAUUUAUUCUGCAUGAAAGUUUAACAGUGUUUUUUCCUUCUAAAUUUUUUUCUUAGUCCAAAAUUACAUUAUUUAAAAUAUUUUUUAAAAUUUAUCUAACAAAUUAUUUAAUUAAUAACAUUUAGAUAAAAUAAAAUAAAAUAAAAUUUUGAUUUAUUUGAUUAUUUCAUGUUUAUUUGUAAAGCUAAUGAAUUCUAUUUUUUAUACGAAUAUAAGUACUCUACCAGUUGUUUAAAAUAAAAUUUACAAAUAUUUGUUCAAAUUCACAUUAAUUUUUUCCUUAAAAUGACGUAAUCCUAGAAAUGAAUGUCUAUUAUUUUUUUUCCUUGAAGAAAAAUAAUAUGUAUAUCAUUGGAAACCAUGACUGGAGCCGAGACUCCAGAUCAAUGGUUCAAGAGCGGUUUAAGUUCAAAAUUUUAAAAAUCGUAAAAGAUCUUUUAACUAUAAGAGUUCUGUGCAUUGGACUAGGAGAAUUCCAACCCAUCUCGUCUCAAAAAAUGGAUUUUUUUUCUUUUUUUUUAUAAACUUCAAAUUAUGUUUAUGAAAAUAACUUUGAUCCUUCCUUGUUAAUAUAAUAUGGAAAAAAUAAUAUGAAUUUUCAAAAUAUAAAAUGGACAACUAAUUAAACAUAUUUUUCAAUAUAAAAUUUUCCUUUAUUAUUCUAUUAAAUGUGUUAAGUACAUGUCUUUGAAUAGAUUGAUAUAAUAAGUUGAUAUAUUGGUCCGAUGUUCUAAAAUUAUAACAAAAUCCUUCAAUUAAGCUAUAGGUGCCCUAGUGGCUAUGGAAUUUUGAGGUAUCCAAAUGGACGAUGGCAAACGUUUGGAAGAUAAUUUCUCCAAAUUCAAAGUUACUUAUCUUCAACGACCAAAAUCCGAAGACAAGUUGCAUAGCAUCAAGGAUUCUCCUUUCUCCUUUGGUCUGCCUAGAUGACCAUUUUUCUUUCUCCUUCAAGCGUACAAUCUGUCCCCACAUUUGUUUCUGAAGAUUGUUUCUACAUCAAGAUGGUCCUUUCUCCUUACCAAGCAUAGACGAUGAAUCCAACUCUCAUGGCCUGUCUUCAUUUUCGACGAAAGAAAAAAUAAUUAAACAAAAGAACUGAUAUAUGUUUAACCAGAAAGGAAGAACUAAAAGAUGAAGAUUCUCAAACCACGAUUUAAUCAAGUGUAAAAAACCAUGGAGGCAAUGUUCAAGAAUUAAUCACCUAGGAUUAAACCUUUCAACCACAUUUACUAACCAUGGAGCGUUGACUAGAAACAUGAAUUAAUCUGGAAAAAGUGGGAUUCAAAUCACUUGAUUGUAUAAAAGGAGCACCAAAAUCUAAAACCAGUAUUCAAAAGUUAAAGAAAGCUAAACUGAUUAACUCUUUACAAAACAAUUUUUUUUUAAACAGAACCAAUCAAAUAUCAACAACUCAUUUCUCAUACAGAUGAAAUUCAUUCAACAUAAUAAAAAACUGAAAACAGAAUCAUAAAAUUAUGAAUAUUUUUUAGAGGCUCUGAUUGUGCAUUUGUCAAACAAAUGGGGUAAUAAAAAAAAAAAAAAAAAACUAUGGUAGCAAUCACAGAAGAUAGUAACAGAAACAGAAAUGGAAGUUUCUAAAGGAUGAUCAGUUUCACAGUAGCAAAGCACAUAUUAACAAAACCAAGAUUAAUACCAAUCCAACAUGGAAUUUGAAACAUGGAAAUAAAAUAAAAAGAAGCUGCCCCACCACAGUUUUUGUCCCUUCAAAAUGCUUAAUUUAUAUUUAACAUCGUCACAGCCGACAAUAACUCAAUAUUUAAGUAAAGCUGAAAUUUUCAAUUUUUUAUGAUAAUUUCAGAAAAAAAAAAAAUCAUCAGAUUUAAUUAAUUUAAUCUUUUUUUAAUCAAAUUCAGGAUUCAAUCAUUUACGGUAACUAUACAAAAUAGCACAUUUUCAAUCGAUAUGUAACUAGAGAGCUACAUUAUUUUAAAAACGAAUUACAUAGAUAAAUCAUCGUGAUCUUCUAUGACAUAACGUCUUAUGAUUUCAAUGAUUUUGUUGAAUGUCUAUUGUAGUUUGCUAAUUAAACGGUAGAUCUAUUGUUGUGAAUUAUAUAUUACUUUCGCGAACAAGAAGGCUCAUAAGAUUAAAAUAAUCCAACCAAAAAUUAAUAAGGAUAAACAAAGUUGCAUAAAUCUUAUAAACUUAGCAAUAAUUGCAAAAUGGGUAAAAAGUUUGGAAGAGGUUUGAAUAAUCUUUCAUGAAUUGUAAUAAAGAUUGAUAGCUUGAAAUGAUACAGAAGUUAAACAAGUGUGCUCGGUCUUGCCAUGAAUGAAAUACUGAAAAACUUUAUUCCAUUGACUUUAUUCCACACACGAUGCUAUUGUGUUGGUCGGGCGAAUUUUUUGUUUUUGUUCUUAGUUUUAAAGAUGAAAAAUCACGAUGCCUAUAUAAAAAUUAAAAUAAAAGAAUCCCAGUAACCUUAUUAAAACUAAAUUAUAUAUUGUGGCUCCUGUUUUUUUGCUGUGUUGAACCUACUCUUUUUCACUCUUUAUAUAUUGCAUUAUUUUAUUUUAUUUUGUUGUUGCAUUGCUUUUAAUUUUUUUUUUUCCCCGUAAAGAAUAGAAUGUUAUCUCACAUUAUGGAUUGAAUAAAACAAUACUUGUUUCUUCGCAUUUAUCCAUAUCAAUAGGAAUAUGUACAUGGAUUAAAUUAUGCAUGGAGAAAGAAAAUCUCAACGCAACUUAUGUAGCCGUUAAGCCUUUCUUCGUCAAAAGCCCUUUCUCUAUUAAAAUUUUAAAUUUUUUGAAUUUUUUUUAUUGCUCAGCUCAAUUUAUCCUCUCUUUCCUUCUGUGCCUUCCGCCCGGACUGACAAAGAAUGUUAUGAAUACGUACUUCAUAGUGAUUCACGGGCAAUUUAUCCAUAUAGAUAAAUAAACCAUUUAGCUUUAUUGCUUUAAAAUAGUGAUUUUCAUUUUAAUUUUAAUUUAUCCAAUAUUUUACUUUAUAAAAUUAUUUUAUUAAAUGUUUUAAUUUACAUAUUUGUGUGAAUGCAUGCGACAUGCAAUAAUUAACAUUCGUUAUUAAACUCACAUCUUUUGAUUAACCUUUUUAGGAAGUAGAAUUUUUCUUGACCCGGUAAAGCUCCGCUUCCUUCACUGCAGAGCUAGAAAAGAAUUCUCUAGAUUUAGUAUUAAUUCAUGAAAUAGAUAAACGUACAAAAUUUAUUUGUAUUUAUCUGUUAGUGAACUUCGCAGUUGUAAAAUUUAUAUACCUUAGGCUGUGUAUUAUUAUAGAUGUAAUAAUUUUAUGAGGCCAUAUGAUAAACGUAAUGUGUUACAAUUUGAGCUCGAUCUACGAAAUGUUUAAAAUGUUAAAUUGGGCCAAAGAAUAAUAUAUUUUUGAGAUAAUUGAAUUUUUGCCCAUGGUAUUAUGGGCUAGUCAUUUGAAAUUUAUUUUGAGAUGGUUGAAUUUUAGUAGUUCAGGUUUCCUACAGGCCUCGGGGCCUUAUGCUUACCUGAGCCUUAGUGCCAGUCCCGGCUAUGAAAACGGAUCGUGACAAGUAGCAAGAGUGAAAAUUGCAAAAUUAAUUAGUAAAUUUAUAUAUUCAAUAUCUUUUCAAGAUUUUAAAUAAUGUUUCCUUGGCAUUUUUUAAUUGUAAAUAUUAUUACGGUAUUAUAUAAAUAUUUUUUGUUAAGAGCUGAAAUAAUGUCCUAAAUUAAAUAAUAAUGCCAUUGCAAAAUUAAUAUAUACUAAAAUUUUAUCUUAAUCUAUUUUUGCCCACCACUAAAUAUUAAAAAUUAUUAAUAUUUUUGUUUAUUUCUAUAAUGAGAAGUGAGUGUUUAAUUAUAAGAGUAGUUACUAAUUUGGUAAGGAUUGUUAAAAAGAAAAUAUUACUUUUUGUUAUAUAAUUUAUAAUAUUAUUUUGAUCCAUUCAAUUUUUACUAAAUGAAAAAAGAGAAAAUUAUCUAUAUUUAUAAUGAAAAAUAAAGAAAAUUUUAAAAGUCAAAAAUGAAAAACGAAAAUUGUUGCAACUAUCAACAUAAAUGGCAUGAUAAUGAUAUAGAAAUUGGAUAAGAAUAUGUAUAUUGAAUAAUUAUUCUAUAGUUUAAAUAAAAUAAUUAAUAAUUUUUCUAUAGUUUAAAUAAAAUAAUUAAUAAUUUCAUAUAUUCCUGAAAUCUUACCCUUAAAAUAAAAAUUUAAAUAUGCAAUUAUUGUGGGACUAAAUAUAAUUCACAAAAAUUAAUCAUGUAAAACUAUUUUACUAUUAAGUACUUAUUGUAUAUGUACACUAAUAAGUUCUAAAAUUUAAAACAUUUUGAGUAUUUUAAAGAGUAAGUAAAAUAUCUUUUCUCAUUUUAUAUUUAUUCAUUAUAUUUUCAUAUAUUACUUUUAGUUUUAAUAAAUGAUAAUUUAAUUAAAUUACUAUUGAUUUUAUUGUAAUUUAAAAAAUCAAUUACUUUUUAAUCUUUAUAAAAAUUUUAAAUGAUUUAUAUUUUGAAAUAAAAAAACAGUUAAAUCAGUGAAAAUAAAUUAUAUAUCCAAUCAAAUUUCCUGCAAUAUAAAAACUCAUAAAUUUGGAAUCACUGCUGUUACCGGAAUACCAUCCAGCUUGAACAUUUAAAAAAAAAAAAAACCAAAAGAAAAGAAAACCCGUAUAUAUAUUUUAUUAUGUCAUUAAAUAGGUGAUAGGCUAUUGGAUGGCGUAAGCUAAACAAAGAUAACAGACAUGACCAGUGCAUCUCAAUCAAAGGCAUUAGAGACUAGAGAGUCUAUAUCAGCUCUGAAAGUGCAGAGUAUUUUUGUUGAAGGCAACUUUUUAUUCUAAUUGAAGUUUUUGGUUUGGACAAAUUAAAUUAUGAGAAAUGGGAAAGAUGCAGCUUUAAUUGAUCUCAACGCGCUUCCCUUGCUUUAAAAGUUUCUUGCUAGGAAAUUAAUUACUUUGCGUUCCUUAAUCUGUAGCUCUUUUUUUUUUUUUUUUUUUUUUUUUUUUUUUUUUUUUAUCAUUGGAAUAGUGUCCAGCCCUUAAAACUGAUCGGGGGACAUGUGUAAUUCUACUCUCUACCUGGAGUCCAUAUAAAUUGGGCAAAUUUUCAAUACACAUGUUAUGAUAUAUGAGCAUUGACGUUAAGCUCAAAUAUGGAUUAAUUAACUGCUUGUACGCUCCUAAGAAUCGAACAUAAAAUGACGAGAAAUUUAUCCAGCAUGGUUUCCCUUAGACUAACCCCAUGCUUCCCUUAGACUAACCCUUUGGGGAUAAUCUUACAAUUAACAUCCUAAAUCCAGCUAGUUUCUUGUUAGGACAUUAUUUAAUUUAUAAUAAAUAAUUUAUGGACAUUAUUUUUUGUUAGGACAUCCUCAAUGCUUUAAUUUAUAAAAUUACAUUUAUUAAACAGUUUAAUUUGCAAAAUAAAUUAGUUAAAUAUCUAUUAAAUAAUUGAUAAGUAAAAAUUAGUAUUUCAAAAGUUAUGCUAAACUACAUAUCGAAUUGAUAUUCUGCAGAUAAGAGCCAAAAAUUUUAAAAACUAUUGUUAUUAGUGUGAAAAUAUGUAUAAUAGUUAAAAUUGCAAAGUUUAUAGAUCUAUACAUUCAGACUUUCUCAAGAUUUUAAAUAAUAUUUACUUUGGCAAUUUUCAAUUCUAAAAAUUAUUACAGUUUAUUAUAAAUUUUUUGUUAGGAGUCGAUUGCCAAAUAUACAACAUGCAGGUUUCCUUUCCUUUUUUUAUUAUAUAUAUAUUUUUUAUUUUAUGGCUUUCAAAGAAGAAAUAAUGUCAAAAAAAAUGCUAAAUUGAAUCCGGCGAAAAACAAAUACAAAAACAAAAAAGAGAAUAAAAACCAGACACGGAUUGCUCAGAGUUGAAAUUCUGCCGCAUAUUUAGAGUUGCCUCUCAUUACCGGAUCACUUCCAAUGAUGCAUCAUAGUAAAACCAAUAAUUGAUCAAAGUUCCAAUGGGUGUCAUCAAAUGAAAGAAUAGAACUAUUUAACAAGGAAGAAAGAAGAGGAUACAUUUCUACUUUACAUGAUAGAAAAUAUGAAGAACCCAAAUUCUCGAUAACCGGUACACUAAAAUUUCAGUGGAGAAGAAUACAAUUUGGCUCUUCCGGUCUCUACUCUCUCUAUAGCACGGAACGUGCAGCCCUCCAACCAGCAGAAUAUGUAUAGUCUUCUCUCUAACAUCACAGCAGAAGUGGGCAAAUCAAUUGAUGUAGGAAGAAGACAUUAGUCCCUGCAAAACAAAAGCAAAAGGUUAAAAUGUCUCUGGCAUCGCAAACUUACAAGUGAUGAUGCAAAGGUUAUGAUGUCUUCUGAAAUUAUCUAGAAAUUAAAUGUUCAUAAUAUAAAUUCCAGCUUAUGUUAAAUUCAAAACUAAAAUUGGCGCGUUCACCAAAAUCAAUGAAAAUCUUCAUUUAUCCAAUAGCAAAGGUUCUUCAGGUCACUGGUGUUGGCAGCAGUUUUUAUCCAUUAGAAAACUAAAAACCUUGCGGGUCAUAAUCAAUAAACGGAAUCAGUAGGACCCUUCCCCAAUAGGCCAAUUCCAUAUCUAGGCUUUUAUUCCAAGAAAAAAAACUCCCAAAUCAAAUAUCUACCAUAAAAUGGUGUACGAGGCACACUAAAUCUCCUAAUGUCCUGGUCAACCAUGGAAGAGAAUGGCAAAUUUCAAUCAGAAAGAAGUCUGCGUCAUCUUAAUGAGCAGACUAGCUUGAAACAAAUAUUCAGAAGAUGAUCUUGAUUUGAGCAAUCCCCAUUCAGGAUUGAUGCAAAACCAAGCCUCACAAAGACAUUAGAAUUCUGCCCCAGUUCUUUAUUUCAAGUAUCAGAUACAUGACAUGACUAAUUUUGGGACAUCCAUUCAAUCAAAGUAAUGAAAGAGAUAUUUUGAUGAUGAAAUGAGUUUGCUUGAUUUUACAUGAUAGUAAGCAUCUAUACUACUAGUCAGCAAUGAGAAGUAAUACAUAACCAUGCAUGCUAAAAACUGCACCAUAGAUGCACAGAAGCAUAAGCUGAAAAUGUAAAGCAAAUUUUCCAAGAGAAUAAAUCCAAGUAACAAUGCAGAGGAGAUGUUGAAUAAUUGAAAGAGGAAAUUAAGAGGGUUAUCUCUGCCAAAGCAAUGGAAUUCACAACCCUUUACAGAAACUUCCAUUCAAAAUGCAUAUCGUUUCAUCUUCUUGUGUUUCCAAUUAACAUAUAUACAUAAAAUAACACAUAAAUGCAGAAUACGGAUAAUGUAAAAUAAGGGGAUUGUGACUCUACGACAUGAUUUUGAAAAUUUGCAGCAGCACAACAACAGCAGCCAAGCCUUAGCCACAAACUAGUUGGGAAUUUGCACAAAUACACAAAAUCUUUUGUUUCCUUAUGGCUCUAUGCUAGAUAUAGAUAAUACUAAACUGAAUUCAAAAUGUCCUUUAGUAUCCUAAAGGGUUAAAAUCAAUCUUAAAUGACAAGAAGAAAAUGCCAAUUCAUUUUGUUUGGAAUGCAAAAAUAUCAUGCAAUUCAUCAUCCAACCUAAAUAAAAUCUGCAAGCUCCUGUGAGUUUCAGAACCAAUGAGAAGAUAAUGCAACUGCUAAAAGCAAUAUAUCGAACCAGAAUAAAGUGACUUCGAGACCAAAAAUACAACAAUAAUGGUUUUAGCUACCUUCUUAGUUCCAUCAGAUGCAGUGCAAACACCUUCCAAAGAUAUUGCCUCAAAUUCUGCGUGUUCACUCAACAUUUUCCCAAAAUCCUUAUUCAAACCUGAAUAAGGUUAUCAAAGACAAAAUUCAUAAGGCUCAGCAUGUCUCUCUUGUUGGAAGAGAGAUUCAAUUUUGCACAUAGACAGGGACAUCAAAGGGAGAUAAAAUCAUUUAGCUCACUGAAAAGGCUAUAAAACCGGACAAUAGCAUUUCAGAGACAAGGUGCUGUAAGAAUACCUUCUAGCUCAUCAACAUAAUGCGCUCAAAUAUUUUCCCCAUAAAGACGCUUCCACAGCAUCAUAGCUUGACCAGGUCUGAAUCCAUGAGAUUGAACCCAUUUCUGGCAUAGUGGAUUCCCACAAUUAUUACUUGGAAAACUUGAACAUAAAUUCUCAUGUUUGGAAUAUUAGAAUUCAUUUUGAAUUUCUAGUCUAGCUAGCUUGUACCACAGUUUAAAAUUAUAUACUUUUUUGAGUUUAGCAUAGGAAGAAAGACUUUUCUCUGCCAUGUGCACGUCUUGUCUGUCAUGUGCAUGCCUUUGAAACAUUGAAUUUUUGUCUUCCACUCACAAGCCUUGGAUACCGUCCACUAUGUGCACGCCUUGCUCUUUGUCGCCAUGAAACCAUCACUAUCUUCCAUCUUUUCCAGAUCUUGUUUAUUCCAUCAACCCAACGAAACCAUAACUCUUUCCUCUUGCCUGAAUUGUUUCCGUUUCAGCCAUGGAAGAUAAUUUUGCUCACCUUUCUAUAGAUGAGGAGGAGGAGACUGGACUUUCCCUUCCUACUCCUACUCAUAAUCCUCCAGUUGAUCCGUAUAAUUUCUGUUUGGUUGGCAUGUUUCUCACUUAUAGCAGAGUCAACUUUGAGGCUAUGAAACACACGCUAGCAGAUCUCUGGCAUCCUUUAGGCGGAAUGGAUAUUCAGGAAGUGGGAGCCAAACGUUUUCUCUUCCGUUUCUACAAUGUGGUUGAUAUGGACAGGGCUAUCUCUGGUAGUCCUUGGUUCUUUAAUAAACAUCUUCUUGUUUGGCAACAGAUCCAAAGUGGUGAAAACCAGUUGGAGAUCCCUUUAUUGUUUGCUGACAUUUGGGUCCAAAUUAGAGAUGUUCCGAAUGGAAUUGUGGGUGAAGGUACAGCUAGAGCGUUGGGUGAUUCCCUUGCCGUAAACCUCUUCCGGGGACAAUAGAUCCAACAGUAUUCCCAUUAACAAUAACUGAAUAUUUUACGGAAGUCAUACACAUCUUCAUCCAAUUUACCCACAUAGCACAGAACCCCAUUUUCUCAAGCAUGGCACAAACAUACGCCCAACAAACUUUGUCAUAGGCUUUACUGAUGUCAAUUUUCAGUGCACAAUUUCCACAUCUACUUUUACUUGGCUUCUUAAGAUGAUGCAUCAUUUCAAAGGAGAUUAAAAUAUUAUCAGUGAUAAGCCGUCCAGGUAUAAAAGCAGACUGAUAGCAAGAGAUAAUAUUUGGUAACACAAAUUUUAAUCGGUUCGUUAGGAUUUUAGACACAAUCUUGUAGAGCACGUUACACAAAGAAAUAGGUCUAAAAUCAGUGACCAAUUCUGGUCUAUCUUUCUUAGGGAUCAAAACAAUUAAGGUAUCAUUUAGAGAUUCCGGGAAAAUACCUUGUUGCAGCCAAUGGUUACAGGCAGUUACCAAAUCCCCACCAAUUAAAGGCCAGAAUUUCUGAUAGAAAGCAGGGUUCAAACCAUCCGGGCCGGGUGCUUUAUGAAGACCCAUUUGAAAAACUGCUGCUUUUGCUUCGUCAAGUGAGAUGGGAGCUGUCAACAUGCAGUUAUCUUCAUCGCUUAUUGUACUGCGGACCAAUCUCAAAAUGGGCUGAAAAUGUGUCAUUAUGCGUAAAGAGAUGAGUGAAAUAGUCAACAAACAGCUGCUGCUUUUCACAUUCCUUUUCAAUCCACUGCCCCGCAGCGUUUUGUAGUUUAUUAAUGGAAUUCNNNNNNNNNNNNNNNNNNNNNNNNNNNNNNNNNNNNNNNNNNNNNNNNNNNNNNNNNNNNNNNNNNNNNNNNNNNNNNCGUCUAGCAUCCUCCUGCGCUAGAAUAUUGCCCCACUCUCUAAUUAAACCUGUGGUAUCGGCAAAAGGAUCAAUCUCUCGAGCAAAAUCUAUAGCACGCUUCAAGCUGUUCUUUUUCUUCCAAAAUCUCGAAUUCCUGUCCAUACCCCAACUGUGCAGUGCGGCUAUACAAGAUUUUUUACGGAGCAUUAUAUCAGACCCCAUGGAGGAGGACCAACUGUCUCGAACUAUCCCAACCAGAUCUUCAUCAUGAAGCCAAGCAUUAUCAAAACGAAACCUCCUCUCCUUCCUACAAGGUACCGCACCCUCAACCGUCGAAACUAACAAUGGGUCAUGGUCCGAUGUUGGUGAAACCAAUGUAGUCGUAGAAGCUUCCUGGAAUAAACUGGACCAAUAAUUAUUAGCCAUAGCUCGGUCAAGUUUCUCACGGGUGAUAAUUCGGCCAAAUCUUUUUAAUAACCAAGUAAAUUUAUAGCCUUUAGCAGGAAUAUCACAUAAAUCACUCUCCACUGCCGCCUCCUUAAAACCAUUCAACAAGUAUCUAGGAUAUUGGUUUCCACCAAUCUUCUCUGAAUCAGCCAAUAGAUUAUUAAAAUCCCCAACACAUAACCAAGGACCAUUAUGUCUACGGGAUAAAGUUUUAAUCAAGUCCCAAGAGUCCUGCCUUCUACAUCUUUCUGGAAACCCAUAAAAACCAGUUAGGCACCAAGAAAUACCAGAAGAAAGAACCAUAGCAUCAAUAAAAUUAUUUGAGUAACAAGAUAUGGAAACAUCAACUUCACUCUUCCAAAGCAAACCAAGACCACCACUUCUCCCAAUACAAUCCACAGAAAAGCAAGAAUCAAAACGCAACAAAGAACAAAGAUCAACAAGCUUCAUUUUAUGAACUAAAGUUUCACAAAGGAACAAAAUAACAGGGCGGUAAAUUGCAACAAAGUCCCAUAGAGCUUGUACUGUCCGAGGGUUGCCAAGUCCUCGACAGUUCCACGAGAGGAUCUUCAUUUCUUCCGGCCAUCCUGCUUCACAGGAUCAACCGAUGUAUGUUUCUCCGACUGAUUGAUGGUCGAAAUGGUACCAGAUGCAGAAUCAUUUUGAGUAGAAACUGCAGCGGUGCUAUGAGUGGUAGGAAGAAUUCGUUGUCUUUUUUUAUUCUCAUCACUGAUACAUAAAGCCACAUCUUCAACUCCGCCCUCUUCAGAAAAAUCAGCUUCCAUUGUAUCGGAGUUAUUGCCUUCGUCAAGAUUUGAAGAUGUACCAUAAAAGGAGUUACGAAAAUUUCUCACCACAGUGUUAUCUCCUUCCAAAACGGAUGUUGAAUUACUAAGUGUCCAAUCUGCUGAAAUGUCAGCGACACCAAAGGAUCGGAUCCAGGAACUCUGUCGUCUCGCUCCACGCCGCACCGGAGCACGAAUACUAUCAUCCCAGGCCAAAAUCAGUUCCUCUCUUGGUUUAGAUAACCGAAGAUCACAGAAUGACUCUGUAUGACCAAUGCGGCCACAGAGAAAGCAAAUCGUGAAAACCUUCUCAUAUUGAAAACGAACAUAAUAAACCUCUCCAGACAGAGCAAUUAAUUUCUUUUUACGUUUGAGAGGCUUCCUAAUAUCCAGUUUUACUUUGAUGCGAAGGAAUUCAAAAACAGCCUCCAUAGAUGUCUUAAAAUCACCCAACGCUCUAGCUGUACCUUCACCCACAAUUCCAUUCAGAACAUCUCUAAUUUGGACCCAAAUGUCAGCAAACAAUAAAGGGAUCUCCAACGGGUUUUCACCACUUUGGAAGGGAAAGUCCAGUCUCCUCCUCCUCAUCUACAGAAAGGUGAGCAAAAUUAUCUUCCAUGGCUGAAACGGAAACAAUUCAGGCAAGAGGAAAGAGUUAUGGUUUCGUUGGGUUGAUGGAAUAAACAAGAUCUGGAAAAGAUGGAAGAUAGUGAUGGUUUCAUGGCGACAAAGAGCAAGGCGUGCACAUAGUGGACGGUAUCCAAGGCUUGUGAGUGGAAGACAAAAAUUCAAUGUUUCAAAGGCAUGCACAUGACAGACAAGACGUGCACGUGACUCUACAACAUGAUUUUGAAAAUUUGCAGCAGCACAACAGCAGCAGCCAAGCCUUAGCCACAAAUUAGUUGGGAAUUUGCACGAAUACACAAACUUUUUUUUUUUUUUCUUAUGGCUCUAUGCUAGCUAUAGAUAAUACUAAACUGAAUUCAAGAUGUCCUUUAGUAUCCUAAAGGGUUAAAAUCAAUCUUAAAUGACAAGAAGAAAACGCCAAUUCAUUUUGUUUGGAAUGCAAAAAUAUCAUGCAGUUACCCCAACAGUAGCACAAGAUAUUUCAUAUGGCCAAACAUAUUAUCAAAUAUCAAAUAAAACUGAGAAAGGAAAAUGUUUAUCUAACCUGUCAUUUACUCCUGCAAGCAUCACAUACUCGAACAAAGCUUUGUAAUUCUUUCUGGACUGGAGUCCCUUCCGAAGGGUGUCAAGAAGCGAGCCUAAAUUGUAUUUCCGGUUAAUUUGCAUGAUCCAGUUUCUUACCUGCAUGGUUUAUUAGUUAAAGAGAAAGUCAACAACCUGGAUGUGUUUCUCAAGUGAAUAAACAUAUGGAUAUAAAUGAAAAUGCACCUCAUCAGCUGUCGCAUUCAGACUAACAGCCAAAGCACAAUUGAAUUCAUGGAGGAAACGUUUCAACUGGGGGACAAGCCCGCUUGUAGAAAUAGUGACCCUGCGAGGACUAAAAUGAAGACCCUGCUCAUGCACCAUAAUAUCGGCAGCUUUUAUGACAUUUUCAAUGUUCUGAAGUGGUUCUCACAUUCCCUGCAAAUACAUAUUUCAAAGCGAAUUAUUAGAAAUUAUUGGGCUAACUAAAAAUCUAUUUUCUCUCACUUAAACCAAGAUCUUUGAAAAAUAGGGAUUAAUACUUCAUGGAUGUAAUAACUCUCCUUCAAAUAUCUAAUAGAGCUAGACUAGAGACACUUCACCAAACAAAAAUCCAUUGCAAUAGCUGCAGCAAAAGGAAUACAGAAACAUACAAGGGUUAGAAGGGUGUAAAUGUCCAUAGGUAGUGGAUAUGCAAUCCAGGAAUAGUAUUGUUGAAUGGUUGGACAAGUAUUCCAAUCAAUGAAUAAGGAAACACAUGGACUUAAUUCCUCAAAUUAUGUGUUUUUCUAUGUGACCAGGGAAUGCAUAACGACGACAAAACGAAUGAAAUUUUUCUAUUUAUGUUCUCGAUAGAUAGUGAAAAUAACAUUGAAUUAUUAGAUGCCUUAGUACUGGACUGAGCAAAGUCACUAACUGAGCCAAAUCUGAACUGAUUGGAAAAACUUCUGUGAAUAGAAAAUUUUCUAGAUCACAGACUUACCAUAAAUACAACGUUUGUGAUGGAACCAACUUCGCUCGUCACAUGACGUUGUGCAAAUACAACCUGGUCUACAAUCUCUGCAGUAGUCAGAUGUCUCUUCAAACCCAUCCUAAAAAUUGGAUUAUGCAUCAAGAAGAUGUACCUUGUAGAAAGUAAGAAUAGCAAUAAUAGAGAUACAAAUAAGAAAGAUAUAAAGCUUACCUGCCAGUGUAGGAGAACUGACAAUUCAUGGCACAGCCCACUUGACUUGAAACACAAACUGUCCUCCUACCUCUAUCACAAGGUAUGACGACUGUUUCAAUUACCAGUUCAUCAUCCAACCUAAAUAAAAUCUGCAAGCUCCUGUGAGUUUCAAAACCAAUGAGAAGAUAAUGCAACUGCUUAAAGCAAUAUAUUGAACCAGAAUAAAGUGACUUCGAGACCAAAAAUACAACAGAUAAUGGUUUUNNNNNNNNNNNNNNNNNNNNNNNNNNNNNNNNNNNNNNNNNNNNNNNNNNNNNNNNNNNNNNNNNNNNNNNNNNNNNNNNNNNNNNNNNNNNNNNNNNNNNNNNNNNNNNNNNNNNNNNNNNNNNNNNNNNNNNNNNNNNNNNNNNNNNNNNNNNNNNNNNNNNNNNNNNNNNNNNNNNNNNNNNNNNNNNNNNNNNNNNNNNNNNNNNNNNNNNNNNNNNNNNNNNNNNNNNNNNNNNNNNNNNNNNNNNNNNNNNUUCAGAGACCAGGUGGUGUAAGAAUACCUUCUAGUUCAUCAACAUAAUGCGCCCAAAUAUUUUCCCCAUAAAGACGCUACCACAGCAUCAUAGCUUGACCUCGUCUGGAUCCAUGAGAUUGAACCCAUUUCUGGCACAGUGGAUUCCCACAAUUAUUACUUGGAAAACUUGAACAUAAAAUUAUACAUAAAUUCUCAAGUUUGGAAUAUCAGAAUCCAUUUUGAAUUUCUAGCCUAGCUAGCUUGUACCACAGUUUAAAAUUAUAUACUUUUUUGAGUUUAGCAUAGGAAGAAAAAGAAAGUAGAAAAACACACUUCAAGCUCAGUGUAAUUCAUUCCCUUAAGAAGCACCUUUGAACCAUUGGUUAGAAUAGCAUUCAUGUCUCUACUUUCUACACAAAUAAACAACCACAAAACAAAUAAAUAAAUAAAUAAAAUUGCAGCUCGAAAAACAACAUAUGUUACUAGGAAACGAUUUAUCUGCUUACCCAUAUAAACAGGAAGCAGUGACGAUGAACAAGCGGCGGCCUUUCAAAUUUGAAUUCUUUAGCUAAUUUGGGAACGAGAUGUUUCAAAUUUAAAUUCUUUCAAAUAUUUUGAUCAAUUUGCUGAGUUUAGAAUAUAGUUAUUCCUAUAGUAUAAUCAGUUGAAUUUAGCAUAGCCCUGUAUAACAUAUUAUUUCAAUUCGUUUAGCCUCUCAUAAAUGAAUAAAUAAAUAAUAAAAAUUCCUAAGUUAUUGGCAGAUUCUUUCUUCACCAUUAUUAUUAUCAUAUAAUAAAUUGCUGAACCCAGAUUCCAUACAUUAAUUAAUUAAUUAAAAUUAAUAAUAAAUCGUUUUCUUCGAUGACGCAUAUAUAAUCGACCAUUUUGUCUGUAUAUUAUUUCUACGUUUAUAGCUAUCAUCGACUAUGCAAUUCCAAUUUUCCUUCUAAAACAAGAACACUCGCUCCCGCUGUUUCUCUCAGAAAAACUAAAAAUGGGAGGUGGCGAAGCAGCUGGGGCAGACACCGGAAUCCGGCGAAGAGGCUGUUCUUGUACGAAGAACGAUUUUCUUCCAGAAGAAUCAUUUCAAAGCUGGGGAAAUUACAUGAAAGCUCUUAGCGAAACUCCAAUGCGAUUCAAGGAUCGGUUAUUGACCAGAUCCAUGGACUCCACGGAGCUCCAUGAAAUAAAGGCUCGAAGCGAGCAUGAUAUGAAGAAGGACCUUACUUGGUGGGACUUAAUCUGGUUUGGCAUAGGGGUUGUAAUCGGGUCAGGUAUAUUUGUUCUAACCGGACUUGAGGCACGUGACCACGCCGGACCUGCUAUUCUGUUAUCUUAUGUGAUUUCGGGUGUUUCUGCUAUGCUCGCUGUGUUUUGCUAUACUGAGUUUGCUGUGGAAAUUCCAGUUGCAGGUAUGCUAUGGGUUUAAUAUUCAUAUUAAGGUAAUUUAUUUAUUUUUGCUGACCAAAUUAUUAGUUAGUACUUAGUAGGAAGGGGAGGCCUGGUCGGGUCGGGUCGGGUCGUGGAGAGAUAGUAACACUGAAAUUAAUUGAACAAAUGAAAUUAAAGGACUAACACUGAAAUUAAAUAAAAAUUCUAUUUCUUUUUCAUUUUAUGGUAACUACACAAAACAGCAAUUUUCAAUCGAUAUAUAGCUAGAGAGCUACAUUAUUUCAAAAAAAAAUUAAACAGGCGAAUUAUCGUCCUUUUUUGUAAUAUAAGGUCUUAUAAUUUCAAUUUUCUCGUUGAAUUUCUCUCGUAGUUUGCUAAUUAAACGGUAGUUCUCUAUCUCUUCCCUUGAAUUAUAUAUUUCUUUAGUUAACAAGGAGGCCCAUAAGAUUAAAAUGAUCCAACCAUAAAUUGAGAAAACCAUAAAUACAAGUGCAACUACGGCCAAUCCAAGAGCAAAUAAGCCAACUUUGCUAGUAAUUGAAUUGAAGGAGUUCCAAGCUUGAAAGAUAGUUCCAAACCCAUAUGUGAGUAGAGCAACAAGAAAGAUUGGCAAUAUAAUGUAUGUGUCUGUAUCAUCCAAAGACUUGAGUUGAAUGAGGCCAAUUAAACUUGCUAUGAUCAAGGUGAAAACAUUAUGUACUGCAUUUAAAUUUUCCCUGAAAAGAAAAAUGAAAUAAAUAAACCAUUAGAAGCUUUAGCACAUUUCAAUUUAACUAUAUAUAUUUGUAAUUGAUAAGGAUAAACAAAGUUGCAUAAAUUUUAUAGACUUAGCAAUAAUUGGAAAAUGGAUAAAAAUUUUAGAAGAGUUUUGAAUAAUCUUUCAUGAAUUGAAUAAAGAUUGAUGCCUUGAAAUGACGGAGAAGUUAAACAAGUGUGCUCUGUCUAGCCAUGAAAGAAACACCGAAAAACUUGAAGAUACAAUAAAAAGUUUGCAACCCAAUAUUUAAUGAUACUUACCUUUCGAUUGGCAUUUUCUUUUAAAUUCUUCGUGCUUGUUAGAGAACGCAGUAAUGGUAGAGAACGCAAGAAUCGGAAGAUAGGAGAGAAGCUGCAAUGACUCAGCUUGCAAGAAUCGGAAGAUAGGAGAGAAGCUGCAAUGACUCACUAGAGAAUCGGGCUUGCAAGAAUCGGCCGAUAGGAGAUAGGAGAGAGAGAAGCUGCAAUGACUCACUAGAGAUUCGGGCUUGCAAGAAUCGGCCGAUAGGAGAUAGGAGAGAGAGAAGCUGCAAUGACUCACUAGAGAUUCGGGCUUGCAAGAAUCGGCCGAUAGGAGAGAUUCAAGCUAUAGGAGAGAUUCAAGCUGAAUCGGGGAGAAAGGAGCUUUUAUAGUAGCAGUUUCGGUAGCCCCCUGCUCUCUCUUCCCACCCCCUAUCAAAAUUCAUAUUUUGCCCUUACAUCAACCCCCUAUCAAAAUUAAUGUCAAAAAAAAAAAAAAAAAAAAAAAACCCCCUAUCAAAAUUAAUGUCAAAAAAAAAAAAAAAAAAAAAAAACCCCCUAUCAAAAUUCAUAUAUUUUGCCCUCAUAUAUCCUCUCACGCUACCUCUGUUCCGCAUUGAAGGGCAUUGAAGGGUAUAUUGGGUAUAUUGCGAAAGUUGCAUUGAUCAUAUUUUGCUACCUCUGUUCCGCGUCGGCAUUGAAGGGUUUAUUGCGGAAGUUGCAUUGAGGGAUUAGUUUGCAUAUGGCCACAACUAAGAUUAUAAGUUAACAUAACUUUAUAUGGGCCGUUGAUAUGCUUCUUCCAUUCAAUUUUUCCAUUUUGGUCUGAUGGGUCGUUGAUUCUUCGAUUCAAUUUUUCCAAGCCCAACCUCAUUACCUUGUUGUCAGAAUCUACAGAUACUAAUAGGUUAUAAAAAAAGAUUUCAAGACUUUUACACAGGCAAUAUGGGACAAUAUUAUUCUUUGGAAAAAAAAAAAAAAAACUAUUAUUGCUGUCUUCCGAUUGCCUUUCCAAUCGGAUUCCUAGUGCUGUUUCUCUCACAUCUGCCUUAAUUAUUCAAUAAAUAAAUUUUCAUUAUUACUUUUUUCAGUUCAUUAAUAUUGGCAAUUGGUAAAAAGGGGUGGAUUAUGAUAUCAUAUUAAAAAAAUAAAAGCUGAAUAUGCAAACUUAGGUAUUAAAAGCUAAAAGUACUAAUAAAUUAUAAGAAAGUGAUGUAGGAUAAACAAAAUUAAAUAUAUUUUUUUUAGCACAAUGUUUUUAACAUCCUCAAAUAUAAUUUCACCUCUAAUAUGAUUUUGUUUUUACAUUUUAUUUUUACUUAUUGCACCUACAUAUUUUAAAUUAUAUAUUGUGGCUCCCUGUUUUUAUUAUUUUAAAUUAUAUAUUUCAUUCUCAUUAACCAUUUCUCUGUCAAAAUUUUAAAAUUAUUUAUUGCCUGAUUAACUGAUCAAUUUUAUGCGUAAUAGUUAAAAUUGUAAAGUUCAUUUAUUUAUAUAGUCAGCUUUUCUCAAGAUUUUAAAUAAUAUUUACUUUGUCAUUUUUCAAUUCUAAAAAUUAUUACAGUUUAAUAUAAAUUUUUUGUUAAGAGUUGAUUGCUAAAUACACAACAUGCAGGUUUCCUUCCUUUUUUUCAUUAUAUAUAUAUAUAUUUAUUUUAUGGCUUUCAAUGAAGAAAUAAUGUCAAAAAAUGCUCAAUUGAAUCCGGCGAAAAAAUAAUAAACCAGACGCGGAUUGCUCAGAGUUGAAAUUCUGCUGCAUAUUUAGAGACGCUUCUCAUUACCGGAUCACUUCCAAUGAUGCAUCAUAGUAAAACCAAUAAUUGAUCAAAGUUUCAAUGGGUGUCAUCAAAUGAAAGAACAAAACUAUUUAACAAGGAAGAAAUAAGAGGAUACCGCAAAAUUGCAACUAAACCUCAGGAAAAGUAAAGCUAAGCCAAAAUCAAUAAUAAAAUUACAUUUCUACUUUACAUGAUACAAAGUAUGAAGAACCCAAAUUCUCAACAACCGGUACACUAAAAUUUCAGUGGAGAAUAAUACAAUUGGGCUCUUCCGGUCCCUACUCUCUCUACUGCACGGAACGUGCAGCCCUCCAACCAGCAGAAUAUGUAUAGUCUUCUCUCUAACAUAACAGCAAAGUGGGCAAAUCAAUUGAUGUAGGAAGAAGAAAUUAGUCCCUGCAAAACAAAAGCAAAAGGUUAAAAUGUUAGCUUUUCAUUCAAGGAGGAAGGGCUCUCCAAAUGUCUCUGGCAUCGCAAAUUUACAAGCGAUGAUGCAAAGGUUAUGAUGUCUUCUGAAAUUAUCUAGAAAUUAAAUGUUCAUAAUAUAAAUUCCAGCUUAUGUUAAAUUCAAAACUAAAAUUGGCACAUUCACCAAAAUCAAUGAAAAUCUUCAUUUAUCCAAUAGCAAAUGUUCUUCAGGUCACUGGUGUUGGCUGCAGUUUAUAUCCAUUAGAAAACUAAAAACCUUGUGGGUCAUAAUCAAUAAAGGGAAUCGGUAGGACCCUUCCCCAAUAGGCCAAUUCCAAAUCUAGGCUUUUAUUCCAAGAAAAAAACUCCCAAAUCAAAUAUCUACCAUAAAAUGGUGUCCGAGGCACAGUAAACAUCCUAAUGUCCUGGUCAACCAUGGAAGAGAAUGGCAGAUUUCAAUCAGAAAGAAGUAUGCAUCAUCUUAAUGAGCAGACUUGCUCGAAGCAAAUAUUCAGAAGACGAUCUAGAAUAGAGCGAUCCCAAUUCAGGAUUGAUGCAAAACCAAGCCUCACAAAGACAUUAGAAUUCUGCCCCAGUGCUUUAUUUCAAAUAUCAGAUAUAUGACAAGACUAAUUUUUGGACAUCCAUUCGAUCAAAGUAAUGAAAGAGAUAUUUUGAUGAUGAAAUGAGUUUGCUUGAUUUUACCUGAUAGUAAGCAUCUACACUGCUAGUCAGCAAUGAGAAGUAAUACAUAACCAUGCAUGCUAAAAAUUCCACCAUAGAUGCACCGAAGCAUAAGCUGAAAAUUCAAAACAAAUUUUCCAAAACAUUUUUUUUUUUAAAGAGAACCAAUCAAAUAUCAACAACUCAUUUCUCAUACAGAUGAAAUUCAUUCAACAUAAUAAGAAACUCAAAACAGAAUCUUAAAAUUAUGAAUAUUUUUUAGAGGCUCUGAUUAUGCAUUUGUCAAACAAAUGGGGUAAUAAAAAAAAAAAAAAAAAAAAAAAACUGCGUUAGCAAUCAUAGAAGAUAGUAACAGAAACAGAAACGGAAGUUUCUAAAGGAUGAUCAGUUUCACAGUAGCAGAGCAAAUAUUAAUAAAACAAAGAUUAAUACCAAUCCAAAAUGAAAUUUGAAACAUGGAAAUAAAAUAAAAAGAAACUGCCCCACCACAGUUUUCUCCCUUCAAAAUGCUUAAUUUGUAUUUAACAUUGUCGCAGCCGACAAGAACUCAAUAUUUAAGUAAAGCUGAAAUUUUCAAUUUUUUAUGAUAAUUUCGGAAAAAAAAAAUCAUCAGAUUUAAUUAAUUUAAUCUUUUUUUAAUCAAAUUCAGGAUUCAAUCAUUUACGGUAACUACACAAAAUAGCACCUUUUCAAUCGAUAUGUAACUAGAGAGCUACAGUAUUUCAAAAAUGAAUUACAUACAUAAAUCAUCGUGAUCUUCUAUAACAUAACGUCUUAUAAUUUCAAUGAUCUUGUUGAAUGUCUAUUGUAGUUUGCUAAUUGAACGGUAGAUCUAUUGUCGUGAAUUAUAUAUUACUUUCGCGAACAAAGAGGCCUAUAAGAUUAAAAUAAUCCAACCAAAAAUUGAUAAGGAUAAACAAAGUUGCAUAAAUCUUAUAAACUUAGCAACAAUUGCAAAAUGGGUAAAAAGUUUGGAAGAGUUUUGAAUAAUCUUUCAUGAAUUGUAAUAAAGAUUGAUAGCUUGAAAUGAUAGAGAAGUGAAACAAGUGUGCUCUGUCUUGCCAUGAAUGAAAUACUGAAAAACUUGAAGCAACAUAAAAACUUUGACAACCCAAUAUUUAACGAUACUAACCUUUCGAUUGGCAUUUUCUUUUAAAUUCUUCGUGCUUGCUAUUUUUUAGUUGCGAAUGAUGACUACCAACACAGGAAAAGGUCUGGUUCCCUGCCGAAAGAGUAAGGAAACGAGUCUGGUAAGAACGACUGAUAUAAGUAUAGCAAAUAUGUGCUCUUUGCUCUUUUUAUUUUAUGCACGAGUUUGUAAGGCCUGUUUCACAGGGCUCACAUCUCAUAUUGUUUUAGUUUUCAAAGUUUGCAUUGACUUUAUUCCAAGCAUGAUGCUAUUCUGUUGGUCUGGCGAAUUUUUUGUUUUUGUUCUUUGUUUUAAAGACGUAAAAUCAUGAUGCCUAUAUAAAAAUUAAAAUAAAAGAAUCCCAGUAACCUUAUUAAAAUUAAAUUAUAUAUUGUGGCUCCUGUUUUUUUCUGUGUUAAACCUACUCUUUUUCACUCUUUAUAUAUUGCAUUAUUUUAUUUUAUUUUGUUGUUGCAUUGCUUUUGAUUUUUUUUUUUCCCAGUAAAGAAUAGAAUGUUAUCUCACAUUAUGGAUUGAAUAAAACAAUACUUCUUUCUUCGCAUUUAUCCAUAUCAAUAGGAAUAUGUACAUGGAUUAAAUUAUGCAUGGAGGAAGAAAAUCUCAACGCAACUUAUAUAACCGUUCAGCCUUUCUUUGUCAAAAGCCCUUUCUCUGUCAAAAUUUUAAAUUUUUUUGAAUUUUUUUUAUUGCUCAGCUCACUUUCUCCUCUCUUUCUUUUUGUGCCUUCCGCUCGGACUGACAAAGAAUGUUAUGAAUAUGUACUUCAAUAGUGAUUCACGGGCAAUUUACCCAUAAACAUAAAUUCACCAUUUAGCUUUAUUACUUAAAUUUUACAAUGAUUUUUAUUUUAAUUUUAAUUUAUCCAAUAUUUUAAUUUAUAAAAUUAUUUUAUUAAAUGUUUUAAUUUACAAAAUAGAUAAAUUAAACACAUAUAAAAUAAUUAAAAUUUGUGAAAAUUAUUAUUCAAAAAAUUUUAAACACUAUUGUUACAAAAAUGAAAAAGUAUUUAAUAUUACCAAAAUUUAUAAAUUCAAAUAUACGAUAAAUCAUCGUAAAAUUCAAGAUAGCGAAACAACCCAUAAUUUUAUUUUUGAAAAUUUUGAAUUUUUAUUAAAUCAAACAUCAGAAAUUUAACUGCGUGGGCUGAAAGUGCUGUGUAAUUUUUGUCUGUGCUCAAAUUCCCGAGUUGGGCCCAAGCCCAAAGUAUAGUGUUACAGCUCUUAACCGAAAAUUUUCUAAACUCCUUAAGAAUUAUUUUGGGCAUUAAAUAUUAAAUUAAUUAAAAUAAAUUAGCUGGACUGUGAACUCGUUUGAAAUUUUCGAAAAUCAAGUGAAAACCAAGUCAGAUAGUUGAAUCAGACCAAACCAGUUCGAAUCGGAAUGAUCUAGAAACCCACCUACCUUCUUUCUUUUCCUCUCUUCUUCUUCUUCCUCAGCGCCAGAGCGCACGCUGCCCUUCCCUCCCCGUUUACGGACACUGGAACCAAUCGAGUGCAACUUCUCGCCGUCGCAUCACCCCUGCGGUUGCUCCGACCUCCUUUCCCCUCUCUCCUUCGUUCCUGGCGAGCGCAGCAACUGUCGGAGGGGUCGCGAUUCAGCUCGACCAUGAAGUCCCGCCUCCAGCUCGAUUUUCCGGCGAUUUCAAGCCACGAGUCAGUGUGGCCGACUCCCUCUCCUCCCUUGCUUCUAUUUUAUGGCGUCAGUCUUGAGUAAUGUCGCCUGGAUCGGAGAAGCCCAAAGAAGGGCGGCUGGCUGAAGGUUUGGAGGCAAUUUCCGACCGAACGAGGCACACUCAGCUCAAAUUGGUCAUAUAUUUGAGGUCCUUGCAUGAUUUCGAGCAUUUUGGCGUGCGGGUUGCCCAAUUCUGGGCUGUUUGGAUUUCUCCAGCCACCGUGGACGGCGGCGGAGGCGGAUCGUGGAAUUGUAGUCCGAUUCUUAAUCGGUACGCUCCAAGACCUAUUUUUCCAUUUUUAGUAUAAAUUCCAUUAAAUUGAAUUCGAACAAAUAUUUAAUCAGAUAUAAAUCUUGUUAGGAAUUAGUUAGUGGCAUAUUGUAAGAUGCAAAUUAAAUUUGAAUAUUGGUAAAUAUAUGUUAUGAAUAUUAAUUAUAAUUAGAAGACUUGAUAUUGAAAUGAGAAUUUUAGCUAAUAUUUAUGUAAAUUAACUUAGGAAAUUUAUUAAAUAUUGUUAGGGGGAGUUAUAAUCUAAGGCUUAGGCAAGUAAGUAAGAUAUAGAAAUUAUAUAUUCUAGGCUAUGAGUUUAAGCUAGAAUUUAGGAUUUCUAAGGGGUAAAGCUUUAACAGAUUGAUUCUUGGUGGUUAAUAUAGAAUUUUUUAACACAUGCAUAAAUAAAUGAGCUUUAUACCUAAAGCUAUGAUGAAGAAGAAAUGUCGUAACGAGAAGUUUCUUAAUGAUUAGAAGUCUAGAAACUAUCAAAUGAGAGUACUUGUAAUUAACUUGGCGAAACAAGUUUUAUUUAUAAAUUGUUUAGUUAUUUGGUAAUUAGUUAUAGAAUAAAUUCGGAGGUUGAUAUAAAUUGUUAAUUAAUUGGUUGGAAUUAUUAAGCGCAUAUAUGUGUGUGAAUUGAGUGAACAAAUGAUUGAUGAAUAUGGUUACGGCGGAUGAGAUGAGUAUAUGUGAAUUGUAAAAAUUAACUAGUAAAUUUAUAUAUUCAAUACUUUUUCAAGAUUUUAAAUAAUGUUUCCUUGGCAUUUUUUAAUUGUAAAAAUUAUUACGGUAUUAUAUAAAUAUUUUUUGUUAAGAGCUGAAAUAAUGUCCUAAAUUAAAUAAUAAUGCCAUUGCAAAAUUAAUAUAUACUAAAAUUUUAUCUUAAUCUAUUUUUGCCCACCACUAAAUAUUAAAAAUUAUUAAUAUUUUUGUUUAUUUCUAUAAUGAGAAGUGAGUGUUUAAUUAUAAGAGUAGUUAUUAAUUUGGUAAGGAUUGUUAAAAAGAAAAUAUAACUUUUUGUUAUAUAAUUUAUAAUAUUAUUUUGAUCCAUUCAAUUUUUACUAAAUAAAAAAAGAAAAAAUUAUCUAUAUUUAUUAUGAAAAAUAAAGAAAAAUUUAAAAGUCAAAAAUGGAAAACGAAAAUAGUUUCAACUAUUAACAUAAAUGGCAUGAUAAUGAUAUAGAAAUUGGUGUAAGAAUACGUUCUAGCUCAUCAACAUAAUGCGCCCAAAUAUUUUCCCCAUAAAGACGCUACCACAGCAUCAUAGCUUGACCAGGUCUGGAUCCAUGAGAUUGAGCCACAGCAACAUUUCUGGCAUAGUGGAUUCCCACAAUUAUUACUUGGAAAACUUGAACAUAAAAUUAUACAUAAAUUCUCAUGUUUGGAAUAUUAGAAUUCAUUUUGAAUUUCUAGCCUAGCUAGCUUGUACCACAGUUUAAAAUUAUAUACUUUUUUGAGUUUAGCAUAGGAAGAAAAAGAGAGUAGAAAAACACACUUCAAGCUCAGUGUAAUUCAUUCCCUUAAGAAGCACCUUUGAACCCUUGGUUAGAAUAGCAUUCAUGUCUCUACUUCCUACACAAAUAAACAACCACAAAACAAAUAAAUAAAUAAAAUGGGAGCUCGAAAAACAACAUAUGUUACUAGGAAACGAUUUAUCUGCUUACCCAUAUCAACAGAAAGUAGUGACGAUGAACAAGCGGCGGUAGAAACGGAACGAGGAGAUGGAGAUUGGGCGGUGGCGGUGAUGAAGAGAGUUGUUUUAGAGAGGAAAGAGAGAGAUGAGAUCGAUUUGGGUAAGGAAUUGAGAGCCAAGCAGAUGAGGAGUCCAUGGAAGGGUGAUUUACAAGAACCACUGACCGCACGCGCUUCAUCCACAUACAACUCAUCUCCAUUCUCCGAUUUCCUGUAGCCCGAAAGUAUUACAUGUUCAUUUGAUGAAAAUAUAUAUUAACAUCAUCACAGCCGACAAGAACUGAAGAUUUAAGUAAAGCGGAAAUUUUCAGUUUUUUAUGAUAAUUUCAGAAAAACAAAAGAAAAAUUCAUCAGAUUUAAUUAAUUUAACCAAAUUCAGGAUUCAAUCAUUAUUGCAAAAAAGUGAACUGAUCAUUCAGAAUUUGAAAUAAUCCGUAGCACCUGUUUAGUAAUCGCAGAGCUUAAAACCAACAAAUGAAAAAAUAAAGGGAAAAAGAAAAAGGAAGGUUCUCACCAAUUUGAAGCGAUUAAUCAAAAUUUGAAGAGAUAGGUUCCCUUUUUUUUUUUUUUCCUUGAAUUGACCAAUUUCAGGCGUUUUUUCCUUUUUCAGAAGGGAGAGGAAUUGAGGCGAAGAAGAAGAGAUUAAGAGAGAGGUAGUUAGUACUUAACAUGAAGGAGAGGCGUGGUCGGGUCGUGGAGAGAUAGUGAGAUGUGGGCUUUACCAAAGAAAUGGACUCUGGAAGUUGGGAAUACAUAUGGUCUUUAAGAUUAUGGAUUUUUUUUUAUUUUUUUCAAAUGAUUAUAAAAAUAAUUGAAUAAAUGAAAUUAAAGGAUGAACACUGAAAUUAAAUAAGAUUUUUAUUUCUUUUCUAUUUUAUGGUAACUAUACAAAAUAGCACAUUUACAAUCCAUGUGUACCUAAAGAGCUACAUUAUCUCAAAAAAAGAAUCACACAGGUAAAAUAUUGUGCUCUUCUGUAACAUGACGUCUUAUGAUUUCAAUUAUGUUGUUAAAUCUCUCUCGUAGUCUGCUAAUUAAACGGUAAAUCUCUUCAAGUGAAUUAUAUAUUACUUUAGCGCAUAAGGAGGCCCAUAAAAUUAAAAUAAUCCAACCAAAAAUUGGAACAAGGAAAAACAGAAGUGCAACUAUGGCCGAUCCAACAGCAAAUAGGCCAACUUUGCUAAUAAUUGAAUUGAAGGAGCUCCAAGCUUGAAAGAUAGUUCCAAACCCAUAUGUGAAUAGACCAACAAGAAAGAUUGUUAAUAUAAAGUGUUUGUCUGUAUCAACCAAAGGCUUGAUUUGAACGAGGCCAAUUAAACUAGUUAUGGUGAAGGUGAAAACUUUGUGUACUGCAUUUAAAUUUUUCCUGAAAAGAAAAAUGAAAUAAAAAAAUUAUUAGAAGGCUUUAGCACAUUUCAAUUUAACUAUAUAUAUUUGUAAUUGAUAAGGAUAAACAGAGUUGCAUAACAAAGUUGAAAUAAUAGAGAAGUUAAACAAGUGUGCUUUGUCUUGCCAUGAACACUGAAAAACUUGAAGAUACAAUAAAAAGUUUGCAACCCAAUGUUUAAUGAUCCUUACCUUCCGAUUGGCAUUUUCUUUUAAAUUCUUCGUGCUUGUUAGAGAACGCAAGAAUGGUUGAGAACGCAAGAAUAGGAAGAUAGGAGAGAAGCUGCAAUGACUAGAGAAGUUGCAAUGAGUCCCUUUUAUAAAUAUUAUAUCCUGCGUGUAUCCUGCGUGUCUCUCCUCCCUCUCUUUUACAAUAUAGAGGAUUCCCUCUCUUCUCCUCCCUCUAUUUUGGAUAUAGAGGAUUUUCUCUUUUAGGUUAUAUAGGAUUCCCUCUUUUAGGAUAUAUUGGCCGUUGAUUUGCUGCUUCCAUUCAAAUUUUCCAAGCCCAACCUCAUUACCUUGUUGUUUUUUUUUUUUUUUUGACAUGACUCAUUAUCUUGUUGUUAGAAUGCAUUGAUACUAAUAAGUUAUAAAAACAGACGUCAAGACUUCUACACACGCAACGUGGGACAAUAUUCUUCCUUGGAAAAAAAAAAAAAAAAAAAAAAGAAUCCUGUUCCUACAGCUGGUUCUCUCACUUCUGCCUUAAUUAUUCAAUAAAUAAAUUUUCACUAUUAACUUUUUCAGUCUUUUGCUCUUUGCUCUCAUAUUUUGUCAUUAAAACAGUUAAUGACAAAAUAUGUGAACAGUGAAUGAACUGUUUAAUAAAAAGAGAUAUUGCCUUUCCAAUCCUAUUCCUACUGCUUUCUCUCACAUCUGCCUUAAUUCCUCAAAUUAUGUGUUUUUCUAUGUGAACAGGGAAUGCAUAACGACGACAAAACGAAUGAAAUCUUCACUUUCUAUUUAUGUCGUCGAUAGAUAGUGAAAAUAACAUUGAAUUAUUAGAUGCCUUAGUACUCGACUGAGCAAAGUCACUAACUGAGCCAAAUCUGAACUGAUUGGAAAAACUUAUUCAAAUAGAAAAUUUUCUAGAUCACAGACUUACCAUAAAUACAACAUUUGUAAUGGAACCAACUUCGCUCGUCACAAGACGUUGUGCAAAUACAACCUGGUCUACAAUCUCUGCAGUAGUCAGAUGUCUCUUCAAACCCAUCCUAAAAAUUGGAUUAUGCAUCAAGAAGAUGUACCUUGUAGAAAGUAACAAUAGCAAUGAUACAGAUACAAAUAAGAAAGAUAUAAAGCUUACAUGCCAGUGUAGGAGAACUGACAAUUCAUGGCACAGCCCACUUGACUUGAAACACAAACUGUCGUCCUACCUCUAUCACAAGGUAUAACGACUGUUUCAAUUACCAGUUCAUCAUCCAACCUAAUAAAAUCUGCAAGCGCCUGUGAGUUUCAAAACCAAUGACAAGAUAAUGCAACGGCUAAAAGCAAAAUAUCGAACCAGAAUAAAGUGACUUCGAGACCAAAAAUACAACAGAUAAUGGUUUUGGCUACCUUCUUAGUUCCAUCGGAUGCAGUACGAACAUCUUCCAGAUAUAUUGCCUUACUCGUGUUCACUCAACAUUUUCCUAAAAUCCUUAUUCAAACCUGAAUAAGGUUAUCAAAGACAAAUUCAUAAGGCUCAGCAUGUCUCUGUUGUUGGAAGAGAGAUUCAAUGUUGCACAUAGAUAGGGAAAUCAAAGGGAGAUAAAAUCAUUUAGCUCACUGACAAGGCUAUAAAACCAGACAACAGAUAGCAUUUCAGAGACAAGGUGGUGUAAGAAUAAGUUCAUCAACAUAAUGCGCCCAAAUAUUUUCCCCAUAAAGACGCUUCCACAGCACAUAGCUUCACCAGGUCUGAAUCCAUGAGAUUGAACCCAUUUCUGGCAUAGUGGAUUCCGCCGUCUACGGUGGCCGGAAAUCGACCAUAGCCGGAAUUGAGCAACAUUUAUACCAAAAUGCUCGAAAUCUUAUGGGGACUACGAUCGCGAGAUCCCCUUGGACUGGGCGUGCCUAUUUUGGCCGGAAAUGACCCCGACAGUGGCUUGCCACUGCCGUCCAUGGCGUUUCCGUCCGUUGAGCCCUGUCGCCGAGAUCAAUGGAAGAGAGAGAGAGAGAGACUCGCCUGGAAUUGAGGAGUCAAAUCGGUGGUCUCCUCGUGGAGUGUCUUCACCGGCGUCGACGGGAUUCGCCGAUAAACGUGUCGCGGCGGCGUUGAAGUAUUCUGGCUCGAUUUCUUCCACCCACGCACUCAAUCGCGCAACCUGAGGCUACAAUGAAGCUUCCCUCGUCGAGAAGAUGGAUUCAGGCUAUGGCUGCGCCUGAAUCCGUGGCCGUUUGGCCGAACAAGAAUUAUAUUUGAAUCGUUAUUUAUUCAAAUUCAAUUCAAUGAACUAAAAAUGCUAAAUUUAGAAUUCAUACCAAAAUGGGGAAAUUGGUCUUAGAACGUACCGAUUGAGAUUCGAACUACCACUCCUCGUCCGCGCGAAGAGGAGACCAAUAUGUCUCAUGGGGCCUCGCAGGAGAAUCGCCGGCCGUUCGCCUGAGAGGACGCCGUCUACGGUUGCCGGGAAUUUAAUAAAAAUUCAAAAUUUGGAAAAUAAAAAUACGGGCUAAACAGCUACGUUAUUUCAAAAAGGAAUUACUAAGGUAAAUCAGGUAAAUCAACGUGCUCUUCUACACUAGGACAACUUAUAAUUUCAAUUACCUAGUUGAAUUUUUUUCGUAGUUCAUUAAUUAAACGCUAAUAUUAGUACUCAGUAUGAAGGAGAGGCAGGGUCGGGUCGUGGAGAGAUAGUGAGAUGUGGGCUUUACCAAAUAAAUUGACUAUGGAAGUUGGGAAUACAUACGGUCUUUAAGAUUAGGAUUUUUUUUUUUUUGUUUAUUUUUUUCAAACGAUUAUAAAAAUAAUUGAAUAAAUGAAAUUAAAGGACUAUCACUGAAAUUAAAUAAAAAUUCUAUCUCUUUUCCAUUUUAUGGUAACUACACAAAAUAGCACAUUGUCAGUCGAUAUAUAGCUAAAGAGCUACAUUAUUUCAAUUCGAUAUAUAAUCAGAGAGCUGCGUUAUUUCAAAAAAAAAAUUACAUAGAUAAAUUGUCAUGCUCUUAUAUAACAUAACUUAUGAUUUCAAUUGUCUCUCUCGUAGUUUACUCUUCUGUAACUUGACUUGUGAUUCCAAUUAUUUUAUUGAAUUUCUCUCGUAAUUUGCUUCCAAUUAUCUGGUUGAAUCUCUCUCGUAAUUUACUGAUUAAACUGUAAAUAUUAUCCCUUGAGUUUUAUACUACUUUAGUUAACAAGGAGGCCCAUAAGAUUAAAAUGAUCCAACCCAAAAUUGGCAAAACCAUAAGCACAAGUGCAACUACGGCUAAUCCAAGAGCAAAUAAGCCAACUUUGCUAGUAAUUGAAUUGAAGGAGUUCCAAGCUUGAAAGAUAGUUCCAAACCCAUAUGUGAGUAGAGCAAUAAGAAAGAUUGGUAAUAUAAUGUGUGUGUCUGUAUCAACCAAAGGCUUGAUUUGAAUGAGGCCAAUUAAACUUGCUAUGGUCAAGGUGAAAACACUGUGUACUGCUGCAUUAAAAUUUUCCCUGAAAAGAAAAAUGAAAUAAAAAAACUAUUAGAAGGUUUUAGCACAUUUCAAUUUAACUAUAUAUAUAUAUUUGUAAUUGAUACGGAUAAACAAAGUUGCAUAAAUUUUAUAGACUUAGCAAUAAUUGGAAAAUGGAUAAAAAUUUUGGAAGAGUUUUUAAUAAUCUUUCAUGAAUUGAAUAAAGAUUGAUGGCUUGAAAUGAUAGAGAAGUUGAACUUGAACAAGUGUGCUCCGUCUAGCCAUGAAAGAAACACUGAAAAACUACAAGAUACAAUAAAAAGUUUGCAACCCAAUAUUUAAUGAUACUUACCUUGCGAAUGGCAUUUUCUUUUAAAUUCUUCGUGCUUGUUAGAGAACGCAAGAAUAGGAAGAUAGGAGAGAAGCUGGCAAUGACUAGAGAGUAACUCUGUGGUCCUUUCUUUUAAUGUAGAUCACUUCUGUCGCUCUCUUCAAAUCACAGUGGGUGGUCCUUUCUUCAACACUAGAGACUAACUCUUUCUUCAACACUAGAGAGUAACUCUGUGGUCCUUUCUUCAAAUGUAGAUCACUUCUGUCGCUCUCUUCAAAUCACAGUGGUCCUUUCUUCAACUUUAGAUCAUGGUCCUUUCUUCAAAUGUAACUCUUUCUUCAACACUAGAGAGUAACUCUGUGGUCCUUUCUUCAAAUGUAGAUCACUUCUGUCGCUCUCUUCAAAUCACAGUGGUCCUUUCUUCAAAUGUGGAUCAUGGUCCUUUCUUCAAAUGUAACUCUUUUCUUCAAGACUAGAGAGUAACUCUGUGGUCCUUUCUUCAAAUGUAGAUCACUUCUGUCGCUCUCUUCAAAUCACAGUCGUCCUUUCUUCAACUGUAGGAUCAUGGUCCUUUCUUCAAAUGUAACUCUUUCUUCAACACUAGAGAGUAACUCUCUUCUCUCUGCAAAUCACAGUGGUCCUUUCUUCAAAUGUAACUCUUUUCUUCAAGACUAGAGAGUAACACUGUGGUCCUUUCUUCAAAUGUAGAUCACUUCUGUCGCUCUCUUCAAAUCACAGUGUUCCUCUCAUAUUUUGCAUAUGGCCACAACUAAGAUUAUAAGUUAACAUUACUUUAUAUGGGCCGUUGAUUUGCUUCUUCGAUUCAAUUUUUCCAAGCCCAACCUCUUUCCAAGCUCAAUCUCAUUACCUUGUUGUCAGAAUUUACAGAUACUAACAGGUAAUAAAAAAAGAUUUCAAGACUUUUACACAGGCAAUAUGGGACAAUAUUAUUCUUUGGAAAAAAAAAAGGCUAUCAUUGCUGUCUUCCGAUUGCCUUUCCAAUCAGAUUCCUACUGCUGUUUCUCUCACAUCUGGCUAACUAAAAAUCUAUUUUCUCUCACUCAAACCAAGAUCUUUGAAAAAUAGAGAUUAAUACUUCAAGGAUGUAAUAACUCUCCUUCAAAUAUCUAAUAGAGCUAGACUAGAGACACUUAAAAAAAAAUCCAUUACAAUAGCUACAGCAAAACGAAUACAGAAACAUACAAGGGUUAGAAGGCUUUUAAAUUUCCCCUGAAAAGAAAAAUGAAAUAAAAAAAACUAUUAGAAGGCUUUAGCACAUUUCAAUUUAACUAUAUAUAUUUGUAAUUCAUAAGGAUAAACAAAGUUGCAUAAAUUUUAUAGACUUGGCAAUAAUUGCAAAAUGGAUAAAAAUUUUGGAAGAGUUUUGAAUAAUUUUUAAUGAAUUUUAAUAAAGAUUGAUAGCUUGAAAUGAGGAGAGAAGUGAAUCAAAUACUGAAAAACUUGAAGAUACAAUAAAAAGUUUGCAACCCAAUAUUUAAUUAUACUUACCUUUCGCUUGGCAUUCUUUUAAAUUCUUCGUGCUUGUUAGAGAACGGAAGAGUAGGAAGAUAGGAGAGCAGCUGCAAUGACUAGAGAGCGAGAGCUGAGUAGUAGCGCUUAGUUUUUUCUGAUGACAGCGACACGCGACUGUCAUUUCUUUGUUACUUUUGAGUAGUGGCGUAUUACUACAGUAGCGCUUCAACUAAAUCUCAUAUUUUUAGUUUUUUCUUAUGAGAGCGACGCGCGACUGUCAUUUUCCAGUCUAGUUUGCAUAUGGCCACAACUAAGAUUAUAAGUUAACAUGACUUUAUAUGGGCCGUUGAUUUGCUUCUUCCAUUCAAAUUUUCCAAGCUCAACCUCAUUCAAUUUUUCCAUUUUGGUCUGAUGGGCCGUUGAUUUUUGGAUUCAAUUUUUCCAAGCCCAACCUCAUUACCUUGUUGUCAGAAUCUACAGAUACUAACAGGUAAUAAAAAAAGAUUUCAAGACUUUUACACAUGCAAUAAAUGACAAGAAGAAAAUGCCAAUUCAGUUUAGAAAUAGAUAAUACUAAACUGAAUUCAAAAUGUCCUUUAGUAUCCUAAAGGGUUAAAAUCAAUCUUAAAUGACAAGAAGAAAAUGCCAAUUCAUUUUCUUUGGAAUGCAAAAAUCCAUUUAAGAUAUUGUGAGAGAAUAAAUGUUCGUUUACUAAUGCAGCCUAAAUUUCAUAGAGAUCUGAACAUCCAUUGCGAACACCCAGCAAAUGCAAGCAGACAAAUUCAUAUGAACCAGCAAAUAGCAAUACAAGGAUAUCAGCAUCCCAAAUAAAAAAUUGCUACGUGUGAAAAUUGUGGCGUGAAAGGUUACUCACCAGUACUUGAUCAAGCCAUCCCAACUGCAAGUUGCCACUUUGCUUUGCUCCAAUGGAUGCCACUCGCACCCAUGCACACACCCUCAUGACACUUGUCCAGAAAACCUUACAACUCUUCCAGUCCCAAAACCAGCAUUUACCCUCACCGUCUCCUGACAUAACAAACCGUCCAUCUGGUGAGAAAUUUACUUGGCAAGCAAAACCUGCCACAAUAUGCUCAGCAAACCGCUGGUGCACCUCUCCUAACUAUUGCAAUUCAGUUUCCUCUGAGAAACCUCAGGAGCAUUUGCUGGGUCAUCAUCCAAGAAUUUUCUUAGUUUGAUAUAAAUCAUUGUAAUAUUAGAUGAGUUUAUCUGGUCAUAUUCCCCAGUGCCAUUGUCAUGCAUAGUUGCAUACAUUCACAGCCUGUGAAAGAUAUCAAUGGACCACAAAUGCACCAAAAAAUAGUAGGCAGAGUGCUUUUACCGUCCACAUCCUUUUUUGAUCCCCUCGUGAUAAUGCAUAAAAUUGAGGGUGUUAAUGAUACAGGUUGAAAAUAUAAUAUCAUAUGAAGGGUUUAAAAGCACAUCAAACAAAUCGUUCUUGCCAAAACUAAAUAGAAACAAGUCAGCAACUGGUAGUCUGGUACCACAACUAAACAUGCUAAAGUAAUUGACAAAGCAACUGCAUACAUCUAUCUUUCUGACUUGCAAUAUCAUGCAGUCAACAUUCACAAUGUCAAUCAUGCAGUUACCCUAACAGUAGCACAAGAUAUUUCAUAUGGCCAAACAUAUUAUCAAAUAUCAAAUAAAACUGAGAAAGGAAAAUGUUUAUCUAACCUGUCAUUUACUCCUGCAAGCAUCACAUACUCGAACAGAACUUUGUAAUUCUUUCUGGAUUGGAGUUCCUUCCGAAGGGUGUCAAGAAGCAAGCUUAAAUUGUAUUUCCGGUUAAUUGGCAUGAUCCAGUUUCUUACCUGCAUGGUUUAUUAGUUAAAGAGAAAGUCAACAACCUGCAUGUGUUUCUCAAGUGAAUAAACAUACAGAUAUAAAUGAAAAUGCACCUCAUCAGUUGUCGCAUUCAGACUAACAGCUAAAGCACAAUUGGAUUCACGAAGGAAACGUUUCAACUGGGGGACAAGCCCGCUUGUAGAAACAGUUACCUUGCGAGAACUAAAAUGAAGACCAUGCUCAUGCACCAUAAUAUCGGCAGCUUUUAUGACAUUUUCAAUUCUGAAGUGGUUCUCCCAUUCCCUGCAAAUAUAUAUUUCAAAGCAAAUUAUUAGAAAUUAUUGGGCUAACUAAAAAAUCUAUUUUCUCUCACUUAAACCAAGAUCUUUGAAAAAUAGGGAUUAAUACUUCAUGGAUGUAAUAACUCACCUUCAAAUAUCUAAUAGAGCUAGACUAGAGACACUUCNNNNNNNNNNAAAAAAAAAAAAAAAAAAAAAAAACGAUUACAAUAGCUGCAGCAAAAGGAAUACAGAAACAUACAAGGGUUAGAAGGGUGUAAAUGCGCAUAGGUAGUGGAUACGCAAUCCAUGAAUAGUAUUGUUGAACGGUUGGACAAGUAUUCCGAUCAAUGCACAAGGAAACACAUGGACUUAAUUCCUCAAAUUAUGUGUUUUUCUAGGUAACCAGGGAAUGCAUAAUGACAACAAAACGAAUGAAAUCUUCACUUUCAAUUUAUGUUGUUGAUAGAUAGUGAAAAUAACAUUGAAUUAUUAGAUGCCUUAGUAUUGGACUGAGCGAAGUCACUAACUGAGCCAAAUCUGAACUGAUUGGGAAAACUUCUGUUAAUAGAAAAUUUUCUAGAUCACAGACUUACCAUAAAUACAACAUUUGUGAUCGAACCAACUUUGCUUGUUACAAGACGUUCUGCAAAUACAACCUGGUCUACAAUCUCUGCAGUAGUUAGAUGUCUCUUCAAACCCAUCCUCAAAAUUGCAUUAUGCAUCAAGAAGAUGUACCUUGUAGAAAGUAACAAUAGCAAUAAUACAAAUACAAAUAAGAAAGAUAUAAAGCUUACCUGCCAGUGUAGCACAACUGACAAUUCAUGGCACAGCCCACUUGACUUCAAAACACAAACUGUCGUCUUACCUCUAUCACAAGGUAUGACGACUUUUUCAAUUACCAGUUCAUCAUCCAACCUAAAUAAAAUCUGCAAGCUCCUGUGAGUUUCAGAACCAAUGAGAAGAUAAUGCAACUGCUAAAAGCAAUAUAUCGAACCAGAAUCAAGUGACUUCGAGACCAAAAAUACAACAAUAAUGGUUUUAGCUACCUUCUUAGUUCCAUCAGAUGCAGUACAAACAUCUUCCAAAGAUAUUACCUCAAAUUCUGCGUGUUCACUCAACAUUUUCCCAAAAUCCUUAUUCAACCCUGAAUAAGGUUAUCAAAGACAAAAUUCAUAAGGCUCAGCAUGUCUCUCUUGUUGGAAUAGAGAUUCAAUUUUUCACAUAGACAGGGACAUCAAAGGGAGAUAAAAUCAUUUAGCUCACUGAAAAGGCUAUAAAACCGGACAAUAGAUAGCAUUUCAGAGACAAGGUGCUGGAAGAAUACCUUCUAGCUCAUCAACAUAAUGCGCUCAAAUAUUUUCCCCAUAAAGACGCUUCCACAGCAUCAUAGCUUGACCAGGUCUGAAUCCAUGAGAUUGAACCCAUUUCUGGCAUAGUGGAUUCCCACAAUUAUUACUUGGAAAACUUUAACAUAAAAUUAUAUAUAAAUUCUCAUAUUUGGAAUAUUAGAAUUUAUUUUGAAUUUCUAGUCUAGCUAGCUUGGACCACAGUUUAAAAUUGUAUACUUUUUUGAGUUUAGUAUAGGAAGAAAAGGAGAGUAGAAAAACACACUUCAAGCUCAGUGUAAUUCAUUCCCUUAAGAAGCACCUUUGAACCCUUGGUUAGAAUAGCAUUCAUGUCUCUACUUCCUACACAAAUAAACAGCCACAAAACAAAUAAAUAAACAAAAUGGGAGCUCCAAAAACAACAUAUGUUACUAGGAAACGAUUUAUCUGCUUACCCAUAUCAACAGGAAGUAGUGACGAUGAACAAGCGGCGGUAGAAACGGAACGAGGAGAUGGAGAUUGGGCGGUGGCGGUGAUGAAGAGAGUUCUUUUAGAGAGGAAAGAGAGAGAUGAGAUCGAUUAGGGUAAGUAAUUGAGAGCGAAGCGGAUGAGGAGGCCAUUGAAGGGUGAUUUACAAGAACCACUGACCGCACGCGCCUCAUCCACAUACAACCCAUCUCCAUUCUCUGAUUUCUUGUAGCCCGAAAGUAUAACAUGUUCAUUUGAUGAAAAUGAAGAGAGUGGGCCUUUAUAUGAGAGUAGGCCUGUCUCUGGCGUGGUUAUAUGUGCUUUUUGUGGUUAUGGUGUGGUUCUGCAACUCACUUGAAAUGCCUAAGUGCUACCCUUUAUAGGAGACAGCUGAUUUGAAAAAUUGAAAUGCCACAGGGGCCAGUGCUGCCCUUUGUAUCCAAUUCGGAGUUGUUGAUGUUUAUACCGAUCAAUCAUAGAAGAAAAAUUUAGAGUCUGCACCAACUUGAAAUAAAGUUCUUUAACAAAAACUUUCCAGACCCAACGUAUAUAAAUAUUAUAUUAUUCUAGGAAUGAAGAGUUCCAUGUUAAGCGGCAUAAGGUGAAGUUUGUGUCUUUUUUUUUUUUAAUUUUUUUUUUGGCUGUUUUUUGAAUUCAAUAGAUAAAAGAAUUCUUUAAGAAAGUGCAGUCAUCUAUGAUACCGCGGUACGUUAACAAAGUGCGAGGGUGCUUUUGGUACCGCGGGAGGGGACUGCCAUCUAAUAGUGGACAAUGCCACAGCCAAGUGAUGCAACUAAAGCCUUGGCUAUAGCAGGUUGCCAAGUGAUGUCAUUUAGGACGACAAUAUUAUGUGCCUCAUCGAAUAUUUACCCAACAUUGACCGAAUACAGAUAAAACAUAUUCGAUGAGGCACAUUUGCUUCGUGAAUAGCAAACUACUGUUUUGCGUCCAUCUUAUUUUUUUUAUCUGGAGAAAUUACUGUUUUGUUCUUUGGAAUUAGUGUGCGAUUUAUCAUUAAUAUGUUGACUGAUGUGACUUUUGGGCCUUUGUUUUUGCCUUGAAGAAAUUGUGUGGUCUCUCUGCUGUUAAUUGAUUAAGCAGCCAUACAGAGUCUUCUUCUUUUAUGAUAAUGUGCAUAAACUAUUUGCUAGAUAUUUUUUAACUUAGUUUUCCUAAUCAGUUAAAUUUCAAAUGUUGAAAUCUAUUGCUCAGAUUUCAGGGAUAAAUUUGUAGCAACUGAAUGUUAUUAUAGAGUCUCGAUGAGUUUUUCCUUCCCUUAUAAAUUGUUAUUACAGGUAAAGUUUUCGACAGUUGAAUUAUUUAGUGCGAGUAAGUUUUUGAAUUCUCAACUCACCUGCUCCUUACUUUCCUUGUGUGCCUUCUUCACGGAUUGACAAGAAUGUUAUGAAUAUGUAUUUCAAAAGCUGACUCUUAGGCGUUUCACCCUAAACAUAAAUUCACUAUUUAGCUUUAUUACUUAAAUUUUACUGCACUUUUAAUUUUUAUUUUAAUUCAUUUAAUAUUUUAAUUUAUAAAAUUAUUUUAUUAAAUAUUUCAAUUUGCAAAAUAGAUCAAUUAAACACCUAUGAAAUAAUUAAAAUUUAUAAAAAUUAUUAUUCAAAAAAUUUUAAAAACUAUAAUUGUUAAUGUGAAAAAAUAUUUAAUAUUAUCAAAAUUUAUAAAUUCAAAUAUAUGAUAAAUCAUCAUAAAAUUUAGAAUAGAAAGAAUUAAAGUUACAAAAUUGAAGAAUAAAUUUAUAUAUUUAGUGAUUUUUCAAGAUUUGAAAUAAUGUUUUUUUGGCAUUUUUCAAUUGUAAAAAUUAUUAGGGUAUUAUAUAAAUAGUUUUUUGUUAAGAGCUGAAAUAAUGUAAGAAGAAGUAAUGUAAGAAAAUGCUAAGCUGAAAUAUUUUUUUAUUUUAUGGCUUUCAAAGAAAUAAUGUAAGAAAAUGCUAAACUCAAUCCGGCCAAAAAAAUAAUCAAACAAAAUCAACUUUAAAAAAAAAAAAGAAAAUAAUAAAAAAUAGGCUAAAGUCAAAGGAUGGUGUUAUAGUUAAACAAAAUAUUAAGGGCUGAAUGGGAAUUUUCCCACGUGGGUUAUAUCUACAUUACUUCAGUCCACGUGUGAUUAUAUGGGUUGUGAUGGGCUGUUGAUUCGAUUCAAUUUUUUCAAGCCCAACCUCAUUACCUUGUUUUGCUGCUGCCCGGAUACACAAGAACUACUGUUCGCAUAAUUUGUAGAAAAUGUCGCGAAUACGUAUUUCAAAACGGAAGCUUAAUCAAUUUGCCCAUAUUUUACCCUAUUAAGUGUGUUUUAUACGUUUUGGGGUUUAUUUAGGUUUAAUACGCAAAUGCAUCUUUUAUUUUUAUUACUUUAUUACUUUAAUUUUGUGAUGCUGUCAAUUUUUAUUGUCUCCUUAAAUGCUUCAUUUUAUAAAAAUUACAUUUAUUAAAUAUUUCAAUUUACAAAAUAGAUUAGUUAGAUACCUAUUAAAUAAUUGAUUAUUAUAAAUAUUAUUAUUUCAAAAUUUAAGCUAAACUACAUAUCGAAUUGAUAUUUUGUAGAUAAGAGCCAAAAAUCUUAAAAAUUAUUGUUAUUAAUGUGAAAAUACGUGUAAUAAUUAAAAUUACAAAGUUCGUGAAUUUAAGUAUUCAGACUUUCUCAAGAUUUUAAAUAAUAUUUACUUUGACAUUUAUCAAUUCUAAAAAACCAAUAAUUGAUCAAAGUUCCAAGGGGUGACAUCAAAUGAAAGAAUAAAAACUAUUUAACAAGGAAGAAAAGAAGAGAAUACCACAAAAUUGCAACUAAAAAGCUAAGCCAAAAUCAUUAAUUAAAUUAUAUUUCUAGUUUAAAUGAUACAAAAUAUGAAGACCCCAAAUUCUCACCAACCGGUACACUAAAAUUUCAAUGGAGAAUGAUACAAUUUGGCUCUUCCGAUCUCUACUCUCUCUAUACCACGGAACGUGCAGCCCUCCAACCAGCAGAAUAUGUAUUGUCUUCUCUCUAUUAUAACAGCAGAAGUGGGCAAAUCAAUUGAUGUAGGAAGAAGAAAUUAGUCCCUGCAAAACAAAGCAAAAGGUUAAAAUGCUAGCUUUUCAUUCAAGGAGGAACGGCUCUCAAAAUGUCUCUGGCAUCGCAAAUUUACAAGUGAUGAUGCAAAGGUUAUGAUGUCUUCUGAAAUUAUCUAGAAAUUAAAUGUUCAUAAUAUAAAUUCCAGCUUAUGUUAAAUUCAAAACAAAAUUGGCACAUUCACCAAAAUAAAUGAAAAUCUUCAUUUAUCCAAUAGCAAAGGUUCUUCCGCUGCAGUUUAUAUCCAUUAGAAAACUAAAAACCUUGUGGGUCAUAAUCAAUAAACGGAAUCAGGAGGAGAUGUUGAAUAAUUGAAAGAGGAAAUUAAGAGGGUUAUCUCUGCCAAAGCAAUGGAAUUCACAACACUUUACAGAAACUUCCAUUCAAAAUGCAUAUGGUUUCAUCUUCUUCUGCUUCCAAUUAAAAUAUAUAUAAAAUAACACAUAAAUGCAGAAUCCGGAUAAUGUAAUAUAAGGGGAUCGUGACUCUACAACGUGAUUUUGAAAAUUUGCAGCAGCACAACAACAGCAGCCAAGCCCUUAGCCACAAAUUAGCUGGGAAUUUGCACAAAUACACAAAAUCUUUUGUUUUCUUAUGGCUCUAUUAGCUAUAGAUAAUACUAAACUGAAUUCAAAAUGUCCUUUAGUAUCCUAAAGGGUUAAAAUCAAUCUUAAAUGACAAGAAGAAAACGCCAAUUCAUUUUGUUUGGAAUGCAAAAAUAUCAUGCAGUUACCCUAACAGUAGCACAAGAUAUUUCAUAUGGCUAAACAUAUUUUCAAAUAUCAAAUAAAACUGAGAGGGGAAAAUGUUUAUCCAACCUGUCAUUUACUCCUGCAAGCAUCACAUACUCGAACAAAACUUUGUAAUUCUUUCUGGAUUGGAGUUCCUUCCGAAGGGUGUCUAGAAGCAAGCCUAAAUUGUAUUUCCGGUUAAUUGGCAUGAUCUAGUUUCUUACCUGCAUGGUUUAUUAGUUAAAGAGAAAGUCACCAACCUGGAUGUGUUUCUCAAGUGAAUAAACAUAUGGAUAUAAAUGAAAAUGCACCUCAUCAGUUGUUGCAUUCAGACUAACAGCCAAAGCACAAUUGAAUUCAUGAAGGAAACGUUUCAACUGGGGGACAAGCCCGCUUGUAGAAAUAGUGACUUUGCGAGGACUAAAAUGAAGACCCUGCUCAUGCACCAUAAUAUCUGCAGCUUUUAUGACAUUUUCAAUGCUCUGAAGUGGUUCUCCCAUUCCCUUCAAAUACAUAUUUCAAAGCGAAUUAUUAGAAAUUAUUGGGCUAACUAAAAAUCUAUUUCCUCUCACUUAAACCAAGAUCUUCGAAAAAUAGGGAUUAAUACUUCAUGGAUGUAAUAACUCUCCUUCAAGUAUCUAAUAGAGCUAGACUAGAGACACUUCACAAAAAAAAAAUCCAUUACGAUAGCUGCAGCAAAACGAAUACAGAAACAUACAAGGGUUAGAAGGGUGUAAAUGCCCAUAGGUAGUAGAUAUUCAAUCCAGGAAUAGUAUUGUUGAAUGGUUGGACAAGUAUCCCGAUCAAUGAUUAAGGAAACACAUGGACUUAAUUCCACAAAUUAUGUGUUUUUCUAUGUGACCAGGGAAUGCAUGACAACCACAAAACGAAUGAAAUCUUCACUUUCUAUUUAUGUUGUCGAUAGAUAGUGAAAAUAACAUUGAAUUAUUAGAUGCCUUAGUACUGGACUGAGCAAAGUCACUAACUGAGCCAAAUCUGAACUGAUUGGAAAAACUUCUGUUAAUAGAAAAUUUUCUAGAUCACAGACUUACAAUAAAUACAACAUUUGAGAUGGAACCAACUUCGCUCGUCACAAGAUAUUGUGCAAAUACAACCUGGUCUACAAUCUCUGCAGUAGUCAGAUGUCUCUUCAAACCCAUCCUAAAAAUUGGAUUAUGCAUCAAGAAGAUGUACCUUGUAGAAAGUAACAUAGCAAUAAUACAGAUACAAAUAAGAACGAUAUAAAGCUUACCUGCCAGUGUAGGAGAACUCACAAUUCAUGGCACAGCCCACUUGACUUGAAACACAAACUGUCGUCCUACCUCUAUCACAAGGUAUGACGACUGUUUCAAUUACCAGUUCACCAUCCAACCUAAAUAAAAUCUGCAAGCUCCUGUGAGCUUCAAAACCAAUCAGAAGAUAAUGCAACUGCUAAAAGCAACAUAUCGAACCAGAAUAAAGUGACUUUGAGACCAAAAAUACAACAGAUAAUGGUUUUGGCUACCUUCUUAGUUCCAUCGGAUGAAGUACGAACAUCUUCCAAAGAUAUUGCCUUAAAUUCUGCGUGUUCACUCAACAUUUUCCUAAAAUCCUUAUUCAAACCUGAAUAAGGUUAUCAAAGACAAAAUUCAUAAGGCUCAGCAUGUCUCUCUUGUUGGAAGAGAGAUUCAAUUUUGCACAUACAUAAGGACAUCAAAGGGAGAUAAAAUCAUUUAGCUCACUGAAAAGGCUAUAAAACCAGACAAUAGAUAGCAUUUGAGAGACAAGGUGGUGUAAGAAUACCUUCUAGUUCGUCAACAUAAUGCGCCCAAAUAUUUUCCCCAUAAAGACGCUACCACAGCAUCAUAUCUUGACCAGGUGUGGAUCCAUGAGAUUGAACCCAUUUCUGGCAUAGUGGAUUCCUACAAUUAUUGCUUGGAAAACUUGAACAUAAAAUUAUACAUAAAUUCUCAUGUUUGGAAUAUUAGAAUUCAUUUUGAAUUUAUAGUCUAGCUAGCUUGUACCACAGUUUAAAAUUAUAUACUUUUUUGAGUUUAGCAUAGGAAGAAAAAGAGAGUAGAAAAACACACUUCAAGCUCAGUGUAAUUCAUUCCCUUAAGAAGCACCUUUGAACCCUUGGUUAGAAUAGCAUUCCUGACU
rnacentral:lncRNA from 1 species